rnacentral:lncRNA from 1 species
UGGUAUCAGAGCUGCGUCUCUUUGGUUUCUUAAUCGAAGAACGAUUCUGGAUGUCAUGGUGAGUGCGAACAUCUAUCCUAUCCAGGACGAAAGUCCCUUUGUUGAGAGAGAAGAAAACUAUGAGAUCUAUCGAGAGAUCUAUGGUGAUCCGAUCUACGAUGUCUAUGAAGAUGAUGUCCGCGUUGUCGAUUUCGUUUUCAGUGAAGAUUUUUUUGCAAAUUUCGUUUGUGCAAAAAUCGGGCAAGACGAGAUUCGUGCAAAAUUCGGGCGAGACAAGAUCCGUGCAAAUCCCGUACAGGACGAGUUACGUGCAAAUUUUGGGGAAAGUCAGAAGAUUCGGUUUUAUGAAAAUUUCGGAUAUGAAGAUAAAUAUUGGAAGAUUUCAGCCACGAAAAACCUAUUCAAGAUUCGAGGACGAAUCUUUUCCAACCCGGAGAGAAUGAUGCAGAUAAGUAUUUGGAAUAUUUCCAAAUAUCUUGUUAUUUAUUUUAUUAGUUAUAUUAAUUUAGAUAAUUACCUUUUAUUUAUAUUUUCUAUAUUUUAAUGGUUUUCCUAUUUUAAUUAAGAUUAGGGUUUUUUAGAUUAAGGAUUUAUUAUAAAUAGGCAUUGAAGCCUAAAGUUGUAGGGAGACUUUGAUAAUUAAUAAUAGAGCUUUUGCUUAUUACCUUAAAAGAGAUUUGAUUCAGUUCAUCUAUUUUGAGUUGCCUUGAACAAGAUUCGAUUAAAUUCAUCUUAUUCAGGAAGUUGGUCUCAAGAAGCUAUCGAAAGAAACUCUUGAUUGAUCCAAGAACAGGUCUCGAAGAACCCUAAAUUCUUAGAUCGACCGUUCAACCUAGUUGUCCGCUGCAUCAUGCUAUGUACUCUGGUGCCAUAUAACCGCUACAACGGAAAAUGUAAAGUAUAAAAAACCGGAAGUUUUUUUUUUGAAUACCAAAAGGUUUGGGCCGAAGUAAUCCUCCGAAACCCAAAACCACAUCAUGUAAUAUUAGUUUCAUCUCAGCGGUUGGGAGUUUAAACCAUAGAUUAGUUGUAAUGGAGAGCUUACUAGGUUCCCAUGACUCUGCUUGUUGUUAGGCCUUGUGUAUGAUCAUCUGACUCGAACAAUCUCGCCAUCCCAAAAUCAGAAAUCUUGGGGUUCAUCUGGUAAUCUAAAAGAAUGUUACUAGGCUUCAAGUCACGGUGAAUGAUCUUGAGACGAGAAUCUUCAUGUAGAUAGAGAAUCCCUCUAGCUAUGUUUUCGAUAAUGCUGUACCGUGUGCUCCAACUAGCCUUCAAGGACAGUGUAUGGUCUUGUUUCGCAACCUCGAAUAUGAAAUGAUCAAGGCUUGAAUUGGGAACAAACUCGUAGAUCAAAAGUCUCUCUUCGCCUUUCAAGCAAAAACCUAGUAGCUUAACUAGAUUCCUGUGUUGAAGCUUAGAUAAUAACAAAACCUCGUUCUUGAACUCUUCUUCUCCUUGCCCUGAACUUAAAGCCAAUCUCUUCACCGCUAUUUCUUCGCCGUUUUGAAGCUUUCCCUUCACAUUGUUGAUUAGAAAACAUAAGUCGAUAUCGAAAAUUUGUAGUCGUAGAAGAUAAAAAACCGGCUUAUUCACCUUGUACACUGGACCAAAUCCACCUUCCCCGAGCUUAGACUCUUCAGAGAAGUCACUAGUCGCAGCUUGAAUAACACGGAACUCGAAUUUCAAUGAAGAUAGAGCCUCAACUUCUGCAGCUGCAUACAAAUAAAAUAAAUAUUACCAGAGGUCUUUGUCUCAACUGGAAAAAACCCUGCCCAUUGUGUUAAAGAUCCCCAGUUCGAAUAACCGAUAAGACAAACUAAUAUUAAAUGCUAUGGUUUCAUGCCUGGGGAGAUUACGGGCUUUGGCCCCAAACCUCCCUGUAUUCAAAAAAAAAAUUAGAAUCUUGAUUUUGCUGAAAAUAUUCUGAUAAACAAAUGAAGAAACUCACUAUCAAGUUCUUGAUAAGCCUCUCUCAAACUGUCCUUAUUAUUUUUCUUCCUCCUCCUGUAAAGAACGUAGCCAACCACCGCUAGAAUCAAUAAGGAGCCAACAACAAGAACUGGGACAACAAUUUUCACCGUUGAAGAACCGUCUACAAAAAAAGUACAUCAAUAUAUUAAACAGGACAAAAAAAGAGUAUUUUAUAACGUUUUUUGAAUUGGCCUUUUCAACCUUUCUUAGCCGGUGGUGAAGUGUUACGAAAGGCUCCGUAAAAAGGAUAAAACUCCCACCGGAAAACACAAUUAGGACGAGUAACAAGACCUCCUUGUUUCCCACGGCAACAGUUCUGAUAAUCCCCAACGCUAUUUCUCAAACAUGUGUUGCACUCAGCGUUAGAUACAUCAGAAGUACACUGCAUGAUCGUGUAGAUCGUCAUCGUAUCUCUAGAACUCGUGCUUGUCAAGGGUGUGGUCUCAGCUUCAUAGUACUUUGAUGAAGCUGAUUCCACCAUACGAAGCAUCAGAUCUUGCCAAAUCCCAUCAAAGUCAGUUAAGUUCGAUCUGAUAUCCGUAGCGUUGGGAAGAAUCUGACGCGGGUCCAUAUCUGGUGAGCCAAUGAAAGAACGGGUCGAGUAACGUACGAAACAGAGAGUUUUUUCACCACCCGACCAAUGAAAAGCUUCGGUGCUGUUAGGACAGGUCUUGAUAAGUCCAUCGGAAGUGGUCUUGACGCAGUUUGAGCAGUCCUCUGUUUCGGUGUCGGGAAUACACAUCGCUAGAGCGUAGAUUCUGUCUCGAUCUUGGCCUAGAGAAGAGUUGUAGAAGAAGUUGUUUUGAGAAGUGACGUUAGAAGGAAGUGAAGAGAGGAGAAGGAGACGGUUCUUGUUGAAAGUGCUGUUUGUGUUGAAAGAUCCUUUGGCCAAGCACUGUUGAUCUUGAGCAGAGACAAGGAUAACACUUGUUGUGAUUGUAAGAGAAAAAUAUAGGAUGAUCGAGAAAAGGAAGCUCUUGUUAUUAAUCAUGUUUUCAGAGAUUGUAGAGGUGUCAGGUGUGUGUCUGAUUCUUUUCAUCAAGAAGGAUUUAGAUUACCUGAGUGAUGAGAUCAUGUUGGACUUUUUGUUAAGAACCUAGGACACAUGGAUGUUAGUUAUGAGCCUAGUUGGAAAGUAAAACAUGGAAUAUUAGUCUAAUGAGUGUGACUUUGAGGAUUACUAGUUUGGCGGAUUAGGAUUCUGGGAUUGCCAUCUUUGCCCCUAAUAUAUAGAAUAAUUGCAUUUCAAUUCUGAGACUCUUAUGGGAAUGAAACUUUUAUUGGUAGGAAGGCCAACAAAGAUGAGCAUUGCCUAUGUAUUGUUGAGGUCAGCAAGCUGAGGAGGGAUGUUUCCGUCUAUAGCUUAUUGUAGGACAAAUCCAGACUCCAAAUCCUCCAGUUUUGAGAAACUAUGUGUUAGGAAAGCUUGUGAGACUGUUCUUGAAAAACUCAGGAGAUAUGGAAAGUUAACAUUCCUUGGUAUGGAACCAGAGAAGAUGUUAUGUGAGGGUUUCCACAACCUUGAGCUGUAGUUACUGUAGCUGAGUAGGGAAGAUAUAUUUUAGCUGAUUUUCCAUCAUGUAUAUGUACCAAAGGCUCUAAUACUAAUCUAAACAUAUUAACUUCAGUAGUUCUGUAAUAAAAUCCAUCAGGGAUCUUCUUCAAGUACAGAAACAAACAAAUAGCCGUGAUAAGAUUAGUGUUGAUCCUAGAAAUGACUUAAAUCUAAAUGCAUCAGGAAAAGACCACAUUUUGUUCGGUUGUAUUACCAACUUUUGAGGUAGUAGAUUAGAUAGUUUUUCUAAAGAUAAAAAUAUAUUGGAUUUUGAAGAAGUAUAAAUAUGGGUGAAUAAGUUAUAAUGUAUCAACUCAUACAAUCAAUAUACAAAUCUUAAAACUGGUAUUUGUUUCAAUCGAGUUCUACAUUUUUAGUUUUCGUAGUUACCAUGCAUUCAGGACAAGGCGAUGCCGUGUUUAAUGAUGGAAGUGCCCUUUAAUGGUUUGAGUCUUCGGGUCUUCUUGUGAAAAAGUUUAUCCCACGUACAAGUCUUUAUUUUUUUGUGCGUAUAUCUUUUUAUUAAGGUAGAAGAAAAGGAGCGGUUCUUGUUGAAAGUUCGGAAAGGGUUAAAAGAACCUGACUUUGACUUUUUGACUUAUCGUGUGCCGUUUCUGAAAGUUUGAGGAUCACUGUUUUCAUAGAAACUUCCAUUUGCUAUUAAAGGCAGCUGAUAAGAGACGAACAUAUGAGUGAAUACUAAAGACAAAGAUUUUGCUUUUGCUACAUUCUUUAAGUAAAUUAUGAAGCAGAUGGUAUUGUUUUCAAUCCUUUGUUUUGUGUUCAUAACCAUUGGCGUUACUUCAGUUUCAGCACAAAACGUAUGUAUGGACAACGGGCAUUUCAGGCCCAACGAUACUUACAACGCAAACCGCCGUCUGAUCCUCUCUUCCUUACCUUCCAACGUCACGUCUCAAGAGGGCCUCUUCUUCAACGGCUCCAUCGGACAAGAACCCAACCGUGUAUACGCAACAGGGAUGUGCAUCCCAGGAUCAAAUCCACAGGACUGUUCUGAUUGUAUCAAGCUCGCGUCUGAUGGUUUGUUACAGAGCUGUCCUAACCAAACAAACGCGUUUACAUGGCUAGGCGAUCCCACGCUUUGCCUUGUCCGCUACGCCAGCACUUCUUUCUCAGGAUCUGGAGAUCUAACUCCGCGUAGGAUGGUCACAAACGGUGGAUAUAUAGCCUCGAAUAAAACAGAAUUCAAGAAAACAUGGGAAGACUUGGUUGCUCGUAUGAUUGACGUUGCCUCGACAGGAAAAAGCACACCGUUGUUUAGUAAUAACCAUUAUACAGCUAAUAGUGCAGCCUUGACGUCUUCUCAGAAUAUGUAUGCUUUGAUGCAAUGCACGCCGGAUGUUUCCUCUCGUGAUUGUGAGAAUUGUCUGCGUCAGAGUGCAAAUGACUUCCACUCGUGCUGUGCUCUGAAGCGAGGAACCCGUAUUUUGCGGCCAGUCUGCUUUUUCCGUUGGGAGUUGUAUGAUUACUCUACGGCUUCUUUUGCUGCUAAUUUUACGGUGGCUUCUUCUUCUCCUCCUCAUCUUCCUCCCGUGGUUGUGCCAGAACCUGCAGAUGAUCAGGACAACACCAUUGAUACUGGUAAGUUUUCCAACUAAUAAGUGACUGUGUAAUAUUAGUUUCGUUCCAGCGGUCCCUCGGACUGGGGACCUCUGACACAAUGGCCAGGGUCCUUUUGAUAUAAUGACAUUGUUUUUCUCUGUGUUAUUAGAAGAUAGGAAAGGAAUCUCAUCUAGAGUUGUUGCGGCCAUCACGGUUCCAACUGUUGUUACCGGCUUUAUACUUCUUGUUCUAGGAGUUUUUCUUUGUUGGAGGAGAAAGGCAGUGCAAAGAACUCAAGUUGAAUGUUAGUAUCUUGAGUCUUAGCUCUUAUUGUUUCUUCUCUUAGAAGCUUAUACAAAUAAAACUAAUACACCCUUUGCUAAUUUGCAGCUGAUAGUGAUAUUUCAACUCCACAUUCAUCGCAAUAUGACUUUAAGUCAAUUGAAGUUGCAACAAACAAGUUUUCGAGGAGUAAUAAGCUUGGUGAAGGCGGAUUUGGCGAAGUUUACAAGGUGAGUAAGUCUCUUUUUUUUCAUUUUUGUAAGUUACUAAUAACUAGCUAUUCUUGUUUCAUUAAAUGGCAUGUAGGGUAUGCUUUCAAACGGAACAGAAGUGGCUGUGAAGCGACUGUCGGAAAAGUCAGGACAAGGGAUAAGAGAGUUCAAGAACGAGGCUGUUCUUGUCUCAAAACUUCUACACAGGAAUUUGGUUAGGCUUCUUGGAUUUUGUCUGGAAGGAGAGGAGAAGAUUUUGAUAUACGAGUUUGUUCCCAACAAAAGCCUUGACUAUUUCCUAUUUGGUAUGUUUCCCUUCAAUAGUUUUUUUUUCUUAUUUGAAGGAUUAUUCUUCAGCUUUUAAACUGAUUAAUCAUAUACGGAUAUAAACAGACCCUGAAAGGCAAAGUCAGCUAGACUGGAUUCAGAGGUACAAUAUCAUCGAAGGGAUUGCUCGAGGAAUUCUUUAUCUUCAUCAAGAUUCACAGCUCACAAUCAUACACCGUGACCUCAAAGCCAGCAACAUUCUCUUAGAUGCCAAUAUGAACCCAAAAAUUUCAGAUUUUGGAUUGUCUACGAUCUUUGAAAUUGACCAAACUCAAGGCAAUACCAGCAAAAUUGCUGGAACCUAGUAAGUCUUGUAAUGUACAACAAGGUCAUAAGUUACUUGAGCAUUUUUCUGUUUAAUAUUAAUCAUACUUUGUAUGUUUGUCAGCGCUUACAUGUCUCCCGAGUAUGCAAUGCAAGGUCAGUUCUCCAUGAAGUCUGACAUUUACAGCUUUGGAGUCUUAGUUUUCGAGAUUAUAAGCGGCAAGAAAAACAGCGGCCUCUACCAGAUGGAUAAAACUAGUAAUGCUGGAAACUUGGUCAACAAUGUGAGCAUAAAGACCUCAAACUUUCAACAGUUUAACAUCUCUAAACAUAUGAGAACAAAGGGUUCCUGAUUGUUCAUUUUUGUUAGGCUUGGAGGCUUUGGAGAAAUGUGUCACCACUAGAGCUGGUGGAUCCGGCAAUUGGAAGGAAUUAUCAGACUAAUGAAGUCACCAGAUGCAUCCAUAUUGCACUCUUAUGUGUUCAAGAUAAUCCAGAUGACCGUCCAAUGUUAUCAACUAUCAUCUUGAUGCUCACUAGUAACACAAUCACUCUACCACUGCCUCGCCUUCCGAAUUGUUUCCCGCAUAGCAUGAACAAACUGGACCAACUAUCUGAAGGAUGCGAUUCAAGUCAAUUCACAGGUCAAAGAUCUGUUGGUUAUUCUGGUAGUGACAUGACGAUUUCUGAUUUAGAGCCUCGUUGAAGAGAGGAAAUAUUAUUUGUGAUGCGAAUUUGAAUGGUGAUUCUACUAUAUGUUCUGACUUUGUGUGAUAAUUGUGGUUAUGUUUGUCUUCAUAUCUAGUAGCAUUCUGGCCUAAUGGCAUUCUUAGGAUAUUAAUUUUCGGUUAUAAUUUUUGCAAUUAUUUAGACUUUUUGAUGUGCUGAGGAUUUUUAAUUCACUAAUACUAGAUUUUGGUUUAUCUGCUUUGUUUGAAGAAACCUUAAAAAUUAUACAACAUUAAGAUUUUCUUAUUAGCGCACUUAUCCACUUAUAGAUUAACCAUAACAUACAUAUAUGUUCUCAAGACCAUACUCUCUCCUAUUCUCCUGGGAUAAAAUCAAUAAAGAAGAACGUCAUAUCUUCUUGUAGUGGAACGCGUAAUUUGGGCAAGAAAACUUUUCGAGUCACUUUGGUCCACUUGAUUUUAGGCUAGCCUUUACGUUAGAAUUUGUAUGGCGCAAAUCGUUGUCAAAAAAGAGAAAGAAAAGAGAGAUGCCGCAAAUCAUGCCAAGUAUGCAUAAACUCGAAUUUUAAAGUGGGAGUCAAUUCCACAUUUCCACUCAAUGCAAUUAUUCUCACUCCUAUAAUAAAAACUGAUAUCUAACGAUUAUCAUCUUCGUCCGUCUUUUAUUAAAUGGCUUCUAGUAAAAUAGUACCACCUAAAAAAAAUAGACCACUUAUUUCGUCAGUAUUUUGGGUCCACGUUUGAAUAUUCAACAUUAUUAUAUUGACUUAUCGUGAGGUUUUAGGAUCUUCCAUUUGCUGUUUAAAGCUUGUAAGAAACGAACGGAUGCGUGUAUACUUAAGACAGAUUUAAAGUGAAUUAUGAAACAGAGGACUUUGUUUUCUAUACUCUGUUUUGUCCUAAUAACUAGCUUUUACGUUGCUUCGGUUUCAGCACAAACAUGCAUGGAUAAUCGCAACGGUACUUACGAAAGAAACCGCCGUCUCAUCCUCUCUUCAUUUCCUUCCAACGUCACGACUCAAGAGGGCCUCUUCUAUAACGGUUCCAUCGGACAAGAACCCAACCGCGUCUAUGCAGUGGGGAUGUGCAUCCCAGGAAUCCAGGAUCAACUCCAGAAGACUGUCCUAACCAAACAAACACGUUUAGGUGGCCUGGUGACCCCACAAUUUGCUAUGUGCGCUAUUCCAACUCUUCUUUCUUAGGAUCUGCGAAUCUGUACCCGCCUGCAGGCUGCAGCUCAGAUCUAACAGAGUUCACAAAAACAUAGGAAGACUUAACUAGUUGAUCGUAUGAUUGAUGCAGCCUCCACAUCAAAAAGCACACCAUCCUCUAGUAAUAACCAUUACAAAGCUGAUAUGGCACCCUUGACUGCUCUUGAGAACAUAUAUGCUUUGAUGCAAUGCACGCCAGAUCUUUCCUCUGGUGAUUGUGAUAACUGUCUGCGGCAGAGCGCAAGGGACUACCAGUCAUGCUGUGGUCAGAAGCAAGGAGGCGUUGUUAUGCGGCCAAGCUGCUUUUUCUGAUGGGACUUGUAUACAUACUCUAAGGCCUUUUGAUAAAUUCACGGUAGCUUCUCCUCCUCCUCCUCCUCUUUCUAUGGCUUUCUCCUCCUCCUGAAGAUGAUCAGGCCAGAACGACCAAUAAUGGUAAGUGUUUUCCAGUUGAAGAAAAUAUAUGAUUGUAAGAAAAAUGAAAAUAUAUAUGACAUUGCUUUCUGUGGUUAUGAGAAGAUAGCAAAGGAAUCUCAUCUGGAGUUGUUGUAGCGAUGACAGUUCCUACUGUUGUUACCAUCUUUAUACUGCUUGUUGUAGGAUUUGUUCUUUGACGGAGGAAAAAGUCAAUGCAAAGAUGCAAAGAAUCGAAGUUGAAUGUUAAGUUUCUUGUGUUUUAGCUUUCGUUGUUUCCUCUAGUUAUAGGCAUUUCUUGUCUCUAUAUCAUAACUAAUACACUUUUUGGGAGAAGUAGGAAUUGUUAGCCAAAGACUUCCGUCAAUGAACAUGAGACCUUGCUUUGCAGCUAAUAGUGAUAUUUUAACUCCACAAUCAUCCCAAUACGACUUUAAGACAAUUGAAGCUGCAACAAACAAGUUUUCGAGGAGUAAUAAGCUCGGUGAAGGUGGAUUUGGCGAGGUUGACAAGGCAAGGGAGAUCUCUGUUUUCCAUUUUUUUCAAGUUACUAUAAAUUAUUUCUAUGUAACUUUUCUCAUAGGUUGUAAUAUCAUAAUCAUUUAAUUAUUUUUUUUAAAAAGAAGUUAUUAUAGGUUAUGAGAAAUGAAUAACCGGCUAGGCUUGUUUUGUUCAAUGGUAUGUAGGUUGCGCUUUCAAAUGGAAUUGAAGUGGCUGUAAAGCGACUGUCGAAAAAGUCAGGUAAAGGGAUAAGAUAGUUGAAGAACGAAGCUGUUCUUGUGUCAAAACUUCAACACAGGAAUUUGGUUAGGCUUCUUGGAUUAUGUUUGGAGGAAGAGGAAACGAUUUUGAUCUAUGAGUUUGUUCCCAACAAAAGCCUUAAUUAUUUCAUAUUUGGUACGGUUCCCUUCAGUAUUUAUUCCAAGGACUAUUUUCAACUCUUAAACUGAUUGAUCGUAAAUGGAGGUGAGCAGGCACCGAAAAUCAAAGUCAGCUAUAUUGGACUCAGUGAUACAAGAUAUCAUUGGAUGGGUAAUUAGAGGACUCUUUAUCUUCAUCAAGAUUCAAAGCUCACAAUCAUACAUACACCAUGACUUCAAAGCCAUCAACAUUCUCUUAGAUGCCAAUAUAAAACAAAGAUUUCAGAUAUUGGAUUGUCUACGAUCUUUGCAAUGGAGCAAACUCGAGGCAAUACCAGGAGAAUUGCUGGAACAUAGUAAGAUUUUUUCUUAAAAUAGCUGAAAACACACAAAGUUUGUUAAUAUUAACCCUAAGUUGUAUGUUUACUUCAUUCAAAAAAAAAAUAAGUUGUAUGUUUACAGUGGUUACAUGUCUUUUGAGUAUGCAAUGCAAGGUCAAUACUCCAUGAAGUCUGAUAUUUAUAGAUUUGGAGUCUUACUUCUCAAGAUUAUAAGCGGCAAGAAAAACGGUGACGUUUACCAGAUGGAUGAAACUAGUACUGAUGGCAACUUGAUCACUUAUGUGAGCAUAGACACAUGACCAAAGUUAAAAUAAAAAGUAACAUCUUUCAACACAUGACAGAUUUAUUGAUUGUUCAUUUUUAAUAGGCUUGGAGGCUUUGGAAAAUGGAUCAUCACUAGAAGUGAAGUCACUAGAUGCAUCCAUAUUGCGCUCUUAUGCGUACAAGACAAUCCAAUAAACGUCCAUUGUUAUCAACUAUCAUCUUCAUGCUCACUAGUAACACUAUCACACUACCAGUGCCUACUACGUUUCAUCCCUCGUGGUAGGCACAAACUGGACCUAGAAUCAAGUCAAUCUACAGAAACAUUUCAUCUAUUUUAUCUGUCUUAGCUUAACAGUUUAGAAAUACUUAGCAUUAACAUAAGUGACUGGAGUAUUCAAAAAAAAACAUAAGUGACUGGAACUGGAGUAUUCUCCUUUCAAUGCAAAAAAAGAGUAGCACAUUUUCACCAUUGGAGGAUUUUCGAUAUGAAAGUUCGGAAAGCAUCUUCAUUAUAUGAAACAGGACAAAAACAAAGUAUUUUGUACUGUUCAUGAAAUUUUUUUCCACCUUUUAAGCCCGCUGUGAAUUGUUACGAAAAUGCACGUUUAUUCGUUGCGGUAUGGUUGGAAGCUGCAACAAACAAGAUUCCAAGGUGAAUGUGGAUUCUGGCGAGGUUAGCUGGAUGAUUUAAGUUUGUAUUACAUGUUAUGAAAGUUAAGAGUCUUGGCCUCUUGGGCGAGGUUGACUUAGUCACUUCAGUUAAACCGGUUAGGAUGCAUGCAAGUUCCGAAACUGGACGGAGAGGCCCGGCCCUGGGCUAAAGCCCGUAAAGCAAAGGCUUUAGGCGCCAAGGUUUAAGAAAUAGUUAGGGGCGCCAAGGACAAGCGUACUCCCUUGGUAUAUACUAGUGGUUUGUGUUCCUGGAAUUUAGUCCGUCAGUUGCUCUGUUCGAACCCAAGUUCCUGCCUUAUUAUUAUUAUUUUUUUAAUUUUGUAAUGAUGACAAAACAUAUUAUUUUCUUAGGAUAAUGAUAAAAAAUGACAUGUGUAAAAGAUCUUAAUUUCUUCCAUUUCAGAUAGUUUGUUAUUUUUAUUAAUUAUAUUUCCAUUUGUCCACUAAAUUAUUUUUACUUUAUAUUAUAUGAAGUAUACCAUUUCAAAUAAAAAUGAAUAAACUAAUAGUUAUUAAUUAUGUUUUAACAAUCUGUAUGUUUUAGUUUUCAUUUUUUUUAAAUCAGUCUUUGCUAAUUUAAUUAUUGUUUAUUUUAUUCUUUUUUUUAGUAUUUUAAACUAAAAUCUAUAAAAAAAACUAUGCUACAUUAUGUGUGAAUGAGUACAGAAUUGUAAAAAAAGAAUAUUAUUUAAAAUUAAGAAAAAAUUUAGAAAAUUAAAAGAAUUAGUUCAAAAAUAAUUAUUUAUUUUUGUGUAAUUUAUUUUUAAAAACAAAUUAAAAUUUGAUAAUAUCUUGCAUAAUUUUUUCUUUUGAAACUAAAUCAAAGAUGCAUAGUUUUUCUUAACAAACUUAAAAUAUAAAAUAAAUAAAUAUAAUUAAAAGGCAUUACUUUUUAGAAAAUAUUACACUAUAGGGCAGUUUUCCACUUUCUAAUAACACUAUAAGACAGUUUCUGCUACUCACACACUUUCUCUUCUCCCAAUACACGUUCCACCUCUUCUGAUUCAUAAAACAAUUGAAAUCUAAUUGAAGCUUAACUAAAUAAUUAAAUAAUAUUUAUUUUUAAUCUUUUUAAUAUAACAACUUAUGGUUUCUCUCUCUCUCUCUCUCUCUCUCUCUCUCUCUCUCUCUCUCUAUCUAUCUCUCUCCUACCAUCAGAUUCCUCCACUUCGAACAUCAAAAACAUAGCUUUUCCUUCAAAUCCAACCCACCUCUUUAUUGCAACUAAGAAAUCAUUCAUCUUGGCAUUUCAAACUUAUCACCGAACUCCUCCACCGCUCUAGCACCUUCCGACGUUGCCGCUCUCGAUUCAUAUAACAUGUCUCUUAUCCAUCAUAUUGAUUUUGGUGGACCAAUCUCUCCGUUUUUGUUGGUGAUCUGAAUUUCAAGGCAACCGAGUUAACUCGGUUUAUCCAGUUGGCUCUGUUUACUGAGUCACCUGAGCGAGUCGACCAGUGACUAUUAUUUCUGGGUAAAUCAUUUCAUUCUCUUUCUCCACAUUUUUAUUCUUUUUUUAUUGAGCUUGAAGAUUCUCCUAAUAGAUGUGGACAUUAUGAUGCAUUUAUAUUCAGAUAUUAGGAAGAUUUUCCUAAUUUUGAGAAGCUAUGCGACGAGGACAAGAUCAUGGACUUUUACAAGAAGAUGUUGAUUGAAUGGAAGCAAGAGCUUGAUGUUGCAGAGAACCACAUGUACUAUGGUCGUCAUCCACAAAACCAGUGUACAUGUGGAUAACAUUAAAACAUUGUACACAUUGAAUGUUGGUUUAAUUUCUAGCUGCUCUUUUUCGGUUAUGUCUAUUUCUUUGUUAUUUUAGUUUCAAUGCAACAAUAAAUAAUCCAUCUCAAAAUAUUUCUACUCCGUAAGGGUAUAUGUGGGAAAGAAAAUAUAAGGUGUACGUGUGGAUAUGCAGUGAUAGUGUACACUUGGAUAUGCAGGUGCUAAGAGUACACGUCGAUAUAUAUAUAUAAGAUAUAUGUACAUGCUCAUAUGCAGGAGAGGUGUACACAAAACAUUUAGAUAUGCUUUAACGAUGUAUUUGCUGAUAAUGCUGAAUAGAUGUACAUCUUGAUAUUAGUCAACACUAAUAUGCGAAACAAGAUCCAACUUCACCAAAGCAAAGCACAAUUAAUCAAAACAAGUAAAGUUUUUACAUCUCUAACAUCAAAACACUGAAUCUCCUUAUUUAUUUAAUUUACUAAAACUCUAAACUGCCUGAAUUAAGCUGCAUAUAAUAGACCAAACCACUAAGAUAAAAUAUAAUAUGUAUAUUGGACAUUUGAGCAUUGACCAAAUAUCAAGAGACAUUGUCCAUGAAAGUUUUUAUAUGCUUUUGUUAGAAAUCCUUUUAUUAUUGAAAGGUCGUAUAAUUAUUUGCCCAUCAAUUCUAAAGUGUACAUUUUUACCAUACCACAAAAAGAUUUUUGUCAUACGCGCAAGUUCUUUUGUUGUACACAUGUACGCCAGAAUUUGUAUGGUACACAUGUACACUCACGGAUGUACACAAUUUUUUUGUUGUGGACACAUGCGAUUGUGAUAACGAAGGGCAGUAUUGUAAUUUUGUAUAUCUUCUUCUUCAUCGACACAUCUCUUUCUACAUAGUUUUGCAGCCAUUUUUGUUUUCUCACUAUUUUGGGGAUGAUUUGCUUUGAUUCAACCUGUUUCUUUAUUAUUGAUAUUCAAAUAUGAUAGAUCCUUGAUAUAACAAUUGAUUUUGACUCAAAUCACCAUAACAUAGAUGUUUUUUUAACUGAGUUUGUGGCCGAUUAUACUAAACUCGCGGCGGCGAAGUCAUGAUGUUUCGGUUUUGAUGGUCAAAAAGAGUUGAUGAAGGAAAACGAUAAUGCUAAUCCAAGAAAAAAUUCAAAAAAGUGGAAACAAAAAAAAGUUCACUGCUUUCUACGUUUUCUCGGUUUCAACAUUUUAAAAGAAUUAAAACAAAAGAAAAAAAGGUUCUUGUUGUUACGCUUAGUUAGAGGCACAUAUAACGAAAAGCUAACUAAAUGUAUAAGGGUGACACAAAAAAGCUUAUGGUUACACUUUUUCAAGGUCAACAAUGUCUUUAACCACCAAAAACUACCCAAGUAGCACAAACUGCUCUUUUAUGUAAUAAAAAGUCAAAAACUGACUCAUAGUGUAAAUCACUCUAUUUUUUAAUGCGCUUCAGGCACCAUUAAAGUCCAGAACGGCACUGUGGAAUUGUGGAUGAACACGGUACGACUGUAUCCGUACAUGAAUUAACGGGUUUUUUUUCUUAAUUGAAUGUUUAAUUAUUCAAAUAAAGUCGUUUGGUUAGAUCUGAAUAGUUGAGGACUUGGUCACACCAGAAACUCGAGCUGAAAAAUACCAUACUCUCCGGGGGGAAAAUCAAUAAAGAUUAACACUUGGCAUCAACAGUAUCAAUAAAGAUUAACGCGUAAUUUGGGGAAGAAGACUUUUCCAGUCACUUUGGGGAAGAAGACUUUUCGAGUCAAGUGGAGCAAAGUGACGUUUCUCAGAAGACUAGAGGCUUUCCAGUACCAAGAGGCCGUCUCACCAGUCCAUUUAAUGCAAGUAUGCAACUUUUCUCACUAUUGUAUAGUAAAAGUUGAUGUACGUAAGGGCAUCUCCAACCCCACUCCAUAUUUUACUCCAAAAUUAAGAAAAUGGAGUGGAAAAUGGAGUAAUGAACAAAAAAUAAAAGGAUUACUCCAUUUAUAGAGUAAUGCUUUUAUUUUUUGUUCAUCACUCCAUUUUCCACUUCAUUUUCUUAAUUUUGGAGUAAAAUAUGGAGUGGGGUUGGAGAUGCUCUAACGAUCAUAAUAGCAUCUCAUCAUAAUAUGUAGGCAUGGACACGGAUUGGAUAUCUGGGUUUUUGAAGGUAUUUGUGAUUUGUUUGGUAUGUCACGAAUCUAAUUUUUUUAUUUUCUUUGCUUCGGAAAAAUAUGAAUAUUCGAAAAAACGGAUGUCCGAAAAAUAAAUAGAUAUUUGCGGAUAUUAACGAAUAUUUACGAAUAUUUCAGAUGUUUUGAUUAAUACAAAUAAUCUUAAAAAUUUGAUACAAUUUUUUUUGUAAAUUUUUUUUUGCAUGAUAUAUAUGAUGAAAAUUAAAAGAAGUAGUGAAUCUACAUAUUUUGUAAAAAAAAUUGAACUUAGUUAACAAUUAUAACAACACAAAACUUAAGAAAAAAAUUAAAUGUGUUCUCUUCUUUUUAUGUAAUACUUUUGUAUAAGUAAUAAUGUGAAUAUAAUUUAUCAAAUCAUAUGUUAGAAUAAUAAUUAUAUAAUUUUAUACAUUAAAAACUUUAAAUAUAAUCAAGAUAUACAUGUAUUUAUAUAUUGCCGGAUCGGAUCGUAUAUCCUCUUCCAAAAAUUUUAAUAUUUGUGAUUUGUUUCGAUUUUAACGGAUAUUGAUUUUUAGUAUUUGCUUUGAUUCGAAAGUUUACAGAUAUCCGAAAUUUUUGGAUCGAAUCGAAACGAAUAACGAAUCGAAUCAAAUUUAACGGAUAAAAUGUCCGGCUCUAAUAAUAUGUCUAUUAUUCAAUGGCCUCUAGUAAAAUAGUACAACCUAUGUCACCGGUAUUCUGGGUCCAAAUUAGAAAAUUCAAGAUUAUUAUUAUUGACGUUGAUUUUUGACUUAUCGUGCCGUUUGAAAGUUGGAGGAUCACUGUAAGCAGACAAACUUCCAUUUGCUGUUUAAAGGUGUUAAGAAACAAACAUACACUAAAGACAAAGAUUUUGCUUUUGCCACAACCUUAAAGUGAAUUAUGAAGCAGAGAAGUUUGUUUUUAAUCCUCUGCUUCGCCCACAUAAGCGUUGGCGAUGCUUUGGUUUCAGCUAAAACAUGUAUGGAUAAUAAUGGGUAUUUCAGGCCUAACGGUACCUAUGACGCUAAUCGCCGUCACAUCCUCUCUUCACUUCCUUCCAACGUCACGUCUCAAGAGGGCCUCUUCUUCAACAGUUCCAUCGGACAAGAACCCAACCGUGUCCACGCAGUAGGGAUGUGCAUCCCAGGAUCAAUACUAGAGGACUGCUUUGCUUGUAUCAAGUCCGCGUGUGAUGAUUUGAUACAGAAUUGUCCUAAACAAACAAACGCAUUUUCAUGGCCUGGUGAGCCCAAUCUUUGCUAUGUGCGCUACUCCAACACUUCUUUCUCAGGAUCUGCGGUUCUGGACCCGCGGCCAUUGCUAUACAGCUCAAAUGAUAUCAACUCAAAUCUAACAGAGUUCACAAGAAUAUGGGAAGACUUAGUUGUUCGUAUGAUUGAUGCAGCCUCCACAGCAAAAAGCACACCAUCCUCUAGUAAUAACUUUUACAAAGCUGAUAUUGCAGUCGUGACAGCUUCCGAUAACAUAUACGCUUUAAUGCAAUGCACGCCAGAUCUUUCCUCUGGUGAUUGUGAUAACUGUCUCCGACAGAGUGCAAGGGACUACGAGUCCUGCUGUGGUCAGAAGCAAGGAGGUGUUGUUAUGCGGCCAAGCUGCUUCUUCAGGUGGCAGUUAGCUACAUACUCUAAGGCUUUUGGUAAUAUUACGGUGACUUAUCCUCCUCCUCCUCCUCCUGUGGCCACGCUUCAACCUGUAGAUGAAAAUGGUAAGUGUUUUCUAAUUGAGUAUAAUUUAUGAUUGUAACAAGAAAUGAAAUGUAUGGCAUUGUGUUUCUCUGUUUUAUGAGAAGAUAGCAAAGGAUUCUCAUCUGGAGUUGUCGCGGCAUUUACAGUUCCAAUUGUCGUUACGGUCUUUAUACUUCUCGUUCUAAGAUUUUUUCGUUGUCGGAGGAGAAAAUCAAUGCAAAGAGUUGAAUGUUAGUAUCUUCUGUUUUAGCUUUUGUUGUGUCCUCUCUUAUAAGUAUUUAUUGUCUCUAAAUCAUAACUAAUACACCCUUGCAUUGCAGCUGAUAAUGAUAUCUCAACUCCACAAUCAUCCCAAUACGACUUUAAAAAAAUUGAAGCUGCAACAAAGAAGUUUUUGAUGAGUAAUAAGCUUGGUGAAGGUGGAUUCGGCGAGGUUUACAAGGUAAAGAGGUCUCUGUUUUUCAUUUUUCUAAGUUACUGUACAUUAUUUUUAUGCAACAUUUCUCAUAGUUUGUAAUAUCAUACUCUUCCAGUGUUAAAAAUAAAAAAGUUAUUAUAGGUUAUGAGAAUAACCAGCUAUGCUUGUUUCAUUCAUUGCAUUGUAGGGUACACUUUCAAAUGGAACUGAAGUGGCUGUGAAGCGACUGUCGAAAAAGUCAGGACAAGGAAUAAGAGAGUUCAAGAACGAGGCUGUUCUUGUCUCAAAACUUCAACACAGAAAUUUGGUCAGGCUUCUUGGAUUCUGUUUGGAGGGAGAUGAAAAGAUUCUGAUCUAUGAGUUUGUCCCCAACAAAAGCCUUAACUAUUUCAUAUUUGGUAUGAUCCCCUUCAGUAUUUAUUCCAAGGAUUAUUUUCAACUCUUAAACUGAUUGAUCGUAAAUGGAGGUGAGCAGGCUUUGAAAAGCAAAUUCAGCUAGAUUGGAGUCAGCGGUACAAUAUCAUCGAAGGGAUUGCUAGAGGAAUUCUAUAUCUUCAUCAAGAUUCACAGCUCACAAUCAUACACCGGGACCUCAAAGCCAGCAACAUUCUCUUAGAUGCCAAUAUGAACCCAAAGAUUUCAGAUUUUGGAUUGUCAACGAUCUUUGCAACAGAACAAACUCGAGGCAAUACCAGGAGAAUUGCUGGAACAUAGUAAGAGUUUUGCUAAAAAUAGCUGAAACACACACAAAGUUUGUUAAGCCUUUUUUAAGGUCAUAUUAACCCUGAGUUGUAUGUUCACAGUGGUUACAUGUCUCCUGAGUAUGCAAUGCAUGGUCAAUACUCCAUGAAAUCUGACAUUUACAGCUUUGGAGUCUUAGUUCUUGAGAUUAUAAGUGGCAAGAAAAACGGCAGCGUUUACCGGAUGGACGAAAGUAGUACUGAUGGCAACUUGGUCACUUAUGUGAGCAUAAACACAUGACCCAUUUUUUCAAUAAAAAUAACAUCUUUCAACACAUGAAAUAUUUUAUUAAUUGUUUAUUUUAAAUAGGCUUGGAGGCUUUGGAAAAAUGGGUCACCACUAGAGCUGGUGGAUCCAGCCAUCGGAAGGAAUUACCAGAGUAAUGAAGUCACUAGAUGCAUCCACAUUGCGCUCUUAUGUGUUCAAGACAAUCCAAUAAAGCGUCCAUUGUUAUCAACUAUCAUAUUGAUGCUCACUAGUAACACUAUCACACUAGCAGUGCCUCGUCUACCACGUUUCAUCCCGCGGGGCAGGCACGAACUGGACCUAGAAUCAAGUCAAUCUACAGGAAAAUCUGUUGUUUAUUCUGUGAACGACGUGUCAAUUACUGCUUUAGAGCCUCGUUAAAGAUGUGAAUGGAUUCUUUAUGUGGAAAAUUUGUGAUGCUUGUUUAAUCUUAUUUCAUGGAUUCUCUCUGUCUUCGCUCAACUCAGUUUAGAAAUACUUAGACCAUCUCCAUCGGUGGGGAUGGUGAUUUGGAGUGCUUAACAAAAAAAAAUUAAUAUUUUAAUGUGUUAUAUUUAUAUAUUUUAAUUUAAUUACUUUAAAUAAAUAUUUGCAAAUGAAAACAAAACAUGUGGCACUUACCUUUAAGUACCGGUUCUGAAAACAGAGUUUAAAGAAGCUCACCUGAUUUCUCUUUCCUACUUUUUUGUAUUUCUAUUAUUAUUUUUUGAUUAGGAACUCUUCUAUGACCUGCCGAUGGAGAUGGCCUUAGCCUUCGUAUAAAUGACUGGAGUAAGGGCCGGCUUAAAACUGUUAGAGCAACUCCAAUGGUGUUACUCAUCAUUGGAAUCCUUAACAAUAAAAUAAUAUAUUUUUUUUUUAAUUUUUUUUGUUUGAAUAGUUAAGGACUCUAAUCAUAUUUGUUAGUCCAAUGGUGUUAUCCAUUAUAGAAUUCUUAGGAAUAAAAUAUAAUUAAAUUUGUAAAACAUUUAAUAAAUUUGUAAAACAUUAAAAAUAAGUAAAUUUGUAAAACAUUUAAAAAAUUUUAAAAGUAAAAAAUUGUAAAAAAUAGUUUCUGUUACAUUGUUGGUUUUACUUAAAAGCAAACAUAAAGUUUCAGCGAAUGAACUAGCAAGGUUACGUCUCUCGAAACUAUAUCUCCAAGUUAUUACAACCACCAUAUAAGAUAAAAGGGAGGGUUGGUGUCAAAUUACUGCUUUCCUUACUUGCGGUUUAUCAUAUAUUUGAUCCAUGUGAGAGAGUACUAGUAGAGAAGCUUGUAAACAAACCUCUUGAUAUGAUCAAGUAUCAAAAGCCUUGCCCCUGGUGCUGGUGGAAUGUUUACUUCUUGCUCUGAUUGUUUCCUUCACCUGAAAGAAGAACAAAAACCCGUGGUAAGUAAAAAGAUAUGUAUACUCUUUUUGUAUUGGUUCAUGAACAAUCAAUCAAUCACCUUAUACAUUGUUCCUGACGCAACAGCGUAGCAAACAGCCCAGGAGAGUGCGUGUGCAGGCCUUACUUUCAAGCCUUUGCUCACAAAAGCGUACGCCAACCCACCACCUGAGGCUGAGACCAUGCUGCAAAGUUUGUCAAAACCCAAUCAGAAACAACGUCUGUAACAGGUUUUCAUCAAAUCAAUAUCACCCAAAGAACAAAUCUUGAAGAUUCUCAGACAAGGAAAUAUAAACAGGGAUCAAAAAGUUGAGUGAAAAAAGAAUGAAACUUUACGCAGCCGUAAGAUCAUCUUUGCUUCUGAUUCCUUUCAUUAUGUGUUCAAUUCCCAGACGACGAAACAACAAAGAAUCGAAUCGGAAAUAAGAAAAUAGCAAACCCAGACGAAAAUCCUAAUUCGAUUAAAAUCCCCAAUUCGAUUUGAAACCCUCAUUCUAGUAAAAUCCCACAAUCGAACCGUAAAAAUUGAUGAAAUCAACAUGCAUCAACUCCAAAUGCAAAGAUAAUGAACUAAAACGCUCUGAUUUAUCUUCAACACCGAAGAUCGCCGAAUCACCUUUUGUUUCGUCGGAGGAAUUUUUUUUAUGUAAUUGUCGCGACUUCUUUUUUUUUUCUCCUUACAAAACACGACCCUGACCCUCACCAAUCGGACUUUGCCAACUCAUCAAGGACCAAAUCCUUAAUCUCCUUAGUUAAGGACUCUUUCUUAACUUAUGAUUUUUUUAUAUUAAUAUUUUAAUCAAUCCCGCAUAAGAAUUAAUGCUAAGGAUCUACUUAAACCCCGCGUUGCGGGUGGUCUUAUGGGCUAUAGGGCAAAAAAAAAAAUUUACCCUCUAAACUUUGUAUUUAGAUAUUGUUUAAAAUAUUUUUAAAAUUUAAUCAGUGAUAUUUUAUAUAUUUUAUGAUGAAAAUAAAGCUACAUACAUAUCAAACAAUUUUGGACCCUUUUCAAAUUUACUUAUUAUAUUUAUAAUUUUUUUAUAUAAAAAUAUAGAUUUAUAAAAAAAAAAGAUCCUUAACUAUUAAUAUAUGUGGGGACACAUGUUUGGACCUGAAACGGUCACAACGCUUGUCCCCUCUACUAAUCCGGCCCUGACUGGAGUUCCCCUUUCAAUGCAAAAAAGAGUAACAAAUUUUCGCCACUAUAUUGGAGAAUUUCUUAUAUCAAAAUUUGGAAAGCAUAUUCAUUAUAUGAAACAAGACAAAACAGAGUACUAAGUACUGUUCUUGAAUUGUUUUUUUCUAAUAUAAAUAUUUUAAAAACAGUUACAUGCCAUGACUGACCUAGAAAAAGACUCUUAUUCGACCUCAACUAUUCGUGUCGGGCUUUUUUAUACCCAAACAGAAGAUAAGUGCUAAAUACGACAUAAGCUAAAAAAAAUUUAAAUUAUAGACCAGAACUCUGAAUCAUGUGCAUAAACCUACAUUGACUAACACCACAUUAGUCAACCGUUAUGUUAGACAAAACGACGUCGUUUUGUUCUAUUGUUUUUUUACUAUAUUUAAAACAUAUAUAUUUUGAUUUGUAUACUCUAAAGAAAAAAAUUAUUCUUGUUUACAAAUUUUACUAAGUACAAAUUAUAACUGCAUCAAUAGUUAUCUAAUUUUAAUUUUGUUUACAAAUUUUAUUUAGAACUAUUUUAUUCUCAAAUAGUUAUCUAAUUUAAAAUAUUUAAAUUUUAAAAAUCUAUAUAUAAUAGUGAUUAUAUUUUUUAAAAAUCAAAACCUAACUUUUAAAAUAAACAAUCUACAAAAAUUAUUGUUUUGAUUUUUUUUUUUAAAAAAUUACAAUCAUUUAUAUAUAUAUAUAUAUUUGAAUUUUAAAUAUCUUAAAUUAGAUAACUAUUUGAGAAAUAUCAUUUUAAAACUAGAUUGAAUAAUUUAUGAAAUAUAUAUAUUUUUUAAUUUUUAUCACAUGUGUAAAAGUGUAAAAAACUUAAAAUACAUCAAUUAUUGAUGCAAUUAUAAUUUGCAAUAAAUAAAAUCUGUAAACAAUAAUAUUUUUUCUCUUAGAAUAUACAAAUCUAAAUAUACAUGUUAUAAAUUUAAUAAGGAUACAAUAGAAUUGUCGUAGCAUAGUGGUAAGUAAGACUAUAAUAUCUCUGCGGGACCAAUGUUCGUUUCCCAAAAAAACAAACUUUUUAAAAAAAUUCUCCAUUACAAAAUGAUGUUGUUUUGUCUAACGUAACGGUUGACUAAAACAGUGUUAGUCAAUGUAGGUUUAUGCACACGAUUCAGAGUUCAAAUCUAUAAUUUAAAUUAUUUUUAGUUUAUUUCGUAUUUAUCGUUUAUCUUUUUGUUUGGGUAUAAAUAAGGGCUUUUUGCAGAAUUGACCUACAAAUACGAAUAGUAAAUGUCGAAAAAGCGCUCUUUUCCCCAAGUCACACAGUUCACACAUCUACUAUUAAAAAGCAUGAGGAUCAAAAAUAACCAGAAAUUAUCGAAACGUUAGUUCCUAUUGACUUCUGUAGUUGAAGAAGAAAAACAUUUAACCGCCUCUAUCUCUGUUCCACAUCCACGGUUCCCUCGUCCGCGAUCCGUUAACUGUAAGUGAGCCUUUCUAGCGCCCUUUGUUGAAUUGUUAUUUUUUUGUUUUCACCUUUUUAGCCCGCCUUCAAAUGUUACGAAAAUGCACGUUCAUUCGUUGGAAUAUGGUUGAAGCUGCAACAAAAAGAUUCCAAUGCGAAGGUGGAUUCGGCGAGGUUAGCUGGAUGAGUUAAGUUUCUAUAACAUGUUACAAAAGUUAAAGAGUUCAUGGGGGAGGUUCACUUAGUUACUUCACUUAAACCGGUUAGGAUGCAUGCAUGAUGCAACCUCCGAAAUUGGACGGAUACGGCACGAAUAUAUCCGUAUAUGAAUUAACGAUUUUUUUAACUAAAUGUUAAAUUAUUCAAAUAAAGUCGUUUGGUUAGAAACUGAAUGGUUGAGGACUUGGUCUCGUUAGAAACUAGAGCUGAAAAAUACUACUCUCCGGGGGGAAAAAUCAAUAAAGCAUCAACAUCAUAUCAUCUUGUAGUGGAACGCGUAAUUUGGGCAAGAAGACUUUUCGAGUCACUUCGGUCCACUUGAUUUUAGGCUAGCCUUUACAUCCAGUGUCGGUCCAACAUUUUCAAAAUUUUCUUGAUGCCCUAGGCUCAUUUAAAAUUUUAUGUCCAUGCUAUUCUUGUAAAUUUUUUAUAGUACCCAAUAUAUGACUAAAAUUGUCUAUUGAAUCAUGAUGCCCGGUCAGUUGCUUUGCCUAUACUUCGGACCGGCCAUGUUUACUGUAGAGGCUUUCCAGCACUAAGAAGCUGUUGGCUUAACGACUCUUUCUUGGAACCUUUUGUGCCCGCCUGUUUCACUUCUGCGCCGGAGGGGAAUGGGAUUCAAACCCAUGAUACAAUAUUCCUGUAUGUCGAUUUAGCAAACCAGUGCCUUACCUCAUAUGAUAACAAGUACCCACAUGAAAGAUGGCGCAAAUCAUGACAAGCAUACAUAAAACAAAAUUUGAAGUGGGAGUCAAUUCCACACAACGCAACUAUUCUCACGCCUACAAUAAAAAUAUAUAUAUCUGUAAUGACCACAUCUGUCUUUUAUCCAUUGGCUUCUAGUAAUAUAGUAUACCACUCGUGUCGUCAGUAUUCUGGGUCCAAAUUAGAAAUUCAAGAUUAUUAUUAUUAUUAUUUAACGUUGACUUUUGACUUAUCGUGCCGUUUGAAAGUUUUGAGGUUCACUGAUUUCAGAGAAACUUCCAUUUGCUGUUUAAAGCUUGUAAGAAACGAACAUAUACUAAAGAAAAAUAUUUUGCUUUUGCUACAAUCUUAAAGAGAUUAUGAAGCAGUGGUGUUUGUUUUCAAUCCUCUGUUUUGUCCUAAUAAGCUUUGGCAUUGCUUCGGUUUCAGCACAAACAUGUAUGGAUAAUGAUGGGCAUUUCAGGCCCAACGGUACUUACGACACAAACCGGCGUCUUAUCCUCUCUUCACUACCUUCCAACGUCACGACUCAAGAGGGCCUCUUCUUCAACGGUUCCAUCGGACAAGAACCCAACCGUGUCUACGCAAUAGGGAUGUGCAUCCCAGGCUCAACUCCACAGGACUGUUCUGAUUGUAUCAAGUCCGCGUCUGAUGGUUUGAUACAUAGUUGUCCUAACCAAACAAACGCGUUUACAUGGCCCGGUGACCCCACGCUUUGCUAUGUUCGCUACUCCAACACUUCUUUCUUAGAAUCUUCGGAUCUGGACCCGCAUUCACUGUUCUUCAACACAGGAGAUAUCAACUCAAAUCUAACCGAGUUCACGACAAUAUGGGAAGGCUUAGUUGUUCGUAUGAUUGAUGCAGCCUCCACAGCAAAAAACACACCAUCCUCUAGUAAUAAUCAUUAUAAAGCUGAUAUGGCACCCUUGACUGCUCUUGAGAAUAUAUAUGCUUUAAUGCAAUGCACGCCUGAUCUUUCCUCUGGUGACUGUGAUAACUGUCUGCGGCAGAGCGCAAGGGACUACCAGUCAUGCUGUGGUCAGAAACGAGGAGGCGUUGUUAUGCGGCCAAGCUGCUUUUUCAGGUGGGACUUGUAUAAAUACUCUAAGGCCUUUGAUAAUAUCACGGUGGCUUCUCCUCCUCCUCCUCUUCCUCCUAUGGCUUCUCCUCCUCCUGGAGAUGAUCAUGCCAGAAGGACCAAUAAUGGUAAGUUUUUUCAAACUGAAGAAAAAAUUAUGAUUAUAUGAAUAACUGAAAAAAAUGACAUUAUUUAUUAUGUGAUUAUGAGAAGAUAGCAAAGGAACCCCAUCUGGAGUUGUCGCGGCUAUUAUAGUUCCUAUUGAGUAUUGGAAUUGAAUAUUAUUGAGUAAGGAGCUCUGUUCUUAUAUGUACAGAGAUGAUCACAAGAAAGGCAAGGCAAUAUUCUAGGAGAUACAAUAGACUAAUUACAGACUAUAUAGCCGUUGAUAGACGUUAAUGAUUAUACACUUUCCAUACUCUUACACACCCCCUCAAGACGGACGGCCAUUCGAGAGUCCGAUCUUGACUAGUAGAGAAUCAAACCGUGUGCGAGGUAAUGGCUUCGUCAGUGCGUCGGCAAGUUGAUCAGCUGAGUUGACGUGAGAUACGCGCAGUUCACCGCUUUGCACAAAUUGUCGAACAAAAUGAUAGUCAAGAGCAAGAUGUUUCAUUCUGGAAUGAAAGACCGGAUUGGCAGCAAGGUAUGUAGCGCCAAUAUUGUCACAGUAGAUGACUGGUUUAGUAGGAGAUGGGGCUUCAAGCUCGGACAGAAGAGACUGAAGCCAGCAGACUUCAGCUGUAGUGGAUGCAAGAGACCGAUACUCUGCUUCUGUUGAUGAUCGAGCUACACCAGUUUGUUUCUUAGAUGACCAGGCAAUAGGGUGACGACCAAGAUAGACUAUAUAAGCACCAGUGGAAGUAUAGUCGUCUCGGUUCCCAGCCCAAUCCGCAUCAGUGAACGCGUGAAGACUAGGAGUGUUGUGAGCUGGAAGAAAGAUGCCGCGUGUGGUUGUGCCAGCAAGAUAACGAAGGAUGCGCUUGACUGCUUGCCAGUGGUCAGUGGUGGGCUUGUGCAUGAACUGCGACAGCUUAUUUACUGGGAAGGAGAUGUCAGGCCGCGUCAAUGAGAGAUACUGGAGGCUGCCGACUACUGCUCGAUAUUCUGAAGGAUCAGCCAAAGGAGUACCUGAAGACAACGUUAAAGUAGUGUUAGAACACAUAGGUGUCUUGAUUGAAUGACAGUCAGCCAUUUUUGUACGAUGUAGAAGAUCUAAUAUGUAACGACUUUGAUUCAAGUGCAUUCCCUCCUUUGUCCUAAUUACUUCUAUGCCAAGAAAGAACGACAAAUCAUCUAAAUCUUUUAAAGAAAAACGUUGAGAUAAGGAUUCGAUAAACCGGGAUGUAUGAGAGGGACUGUUUCCAGUGAUGAUCAAAUCAUCUACGUAGACAAGCAUGUAGAUGAGAACCCCAUUCUUGUUGUAGAUAAAGAGAGAGGCAUCCGCUACUGAGUUCUUGAAACCAGACUGGAGAAGAAACGUGCGGAGCUCAUUGUACCAUGCCCGUGGGGCUUGUUUAAGUCCAUAAAUAGCCUUCCGGAGCUUACACACUGCAGUGGGAUUAUCUUUAUCAAUAAAACCUAGGGGUUGCAUCAUGUAGACAUCUUCUUUGAGAUGACCUUGAAGAAAUGCAUUGUUGACAUCAAGUUGACGCAGGUUCCAAUUUUUAGUAACUGCAAUGCUGAGAAUGGUCCUGAUUGUGGCCGGCUUCACGACUGGACUAAAUGUGUCAUGAUAAUCGACACCUGGUCUUUGAGUGUAACCCUUGGCAACAAGUCUGGCUUUGUAGCGAGCUAUGGAGCCAUCUGCGUUUCUCUUUAUGGUGAAGAUCCACCUGCAACCUACAACAUUAACAUGAUUAGCUGCUUCAGUGAGUGUUUCUAAAUCCCAUGAAUGAUUCCCUGUUUGAGCAUCAAACUCAUCACUCAUAGCUUUGCGCCAAUGGGGGCUCUUGAGGGCUUCAGCAACUGUUUUAGGAAUCUGUUCCAAGAGCGAGGUAGUGGUAGUAUGAAGGUUUAGUUUCUGGACUGGUUUCCGGGUACGAGUACUCGCACGAGUAGGUUGAGGAAGUUGGGUUGAAGGUGGUAUAGAUGGAGGAGGUAAAGGAACAUCGAGAGGUGGAGUGUUGCUGGGAGUGGUAGUAGCAGGAGGGUUAGGCUGAGGUGGGUUUGUUGCGGGUGGGGGUUCAGCAUGAGGAACCGGUUGCGGUAUAAGAGAGACAACAGGAUGAGAGCGAGUGGGGACGUCUUGAUCAUCCUCUGUUGAAACUUUUGAAGAAGAAAUAGAGAAUGGAAAAACCGAUUCAUGAAAAACUACAUGACGCGAAGUAUAAAUCCGUUUUGUUUCUCUAUCAAAACAGAAAUAGGCACUCUGUGUUAUUGAAUAGCCUAGAAAGACACAAGGUGUCGAUCGUGCAUCAAGCUUGUUAGAUGCAUAUGGUCUAAGCCAUGGAAAACACAGGCAGCCAAAGAUCCGAAGUUUUUCAUAAUUUGGAACAUGUCCAUGUAACUUUUGAAAAGGAGUUUGAAAAUUUAAAACCGGAGUUGGCAUUCUGUUUAUAAGAUAGACAGCCGUAGCAAAUGCAUAAGUCCAAAACGAUUUAGGCAUUGAAGCAUGAGAUAACAGAGCAAGACCAGUCUCGACUAUAUGUCGAUGUCUACGCUCCGAUAUACCGUUAUGUUCUGGAGUAUGCGGCGGACUUGUCAUAUGAGAGAUGCCAUGAGAAGCUAAAAAGGAUGCUAACGCUAUAUAUUCUCCCCCAUUGUCAGUGUAUAGAGUUCUAAGUUUGGUUUGAAAUCGAUUUUCAACCAAGACUUUGAAUCUAGUAAAAACAUCAGACACUUGGGAUUUUUGUUUCAAUGGAUAUAACCAUGUAUAGCGUGUAAAAUGAUCUACAAAGAUAACAUAAUACUUGAAACCAUCUUCUGAAAUUUGUGGAGAUGUCCACACAUCUGAAAAGACUAUGUCAAGCGGAAAAGAUGAUCGCAAAGUAGAAUUUUUAAAAGGCAACUUGUGCAUUUUAUUAAUAGAGCAAGAAGUGCAUGGAGAAGCCAUUAAAACACUAGAUGUAGUAGGUAACUGAUAAAUAGAAACUAGUUUUUGAAGAAUUGGAAAAGCAGGAUGACCAAGACGCGAGUGCCAAUCAGACAUAGUGGUCUUGACAGCUGAAGCAAAUGCAAGAGAAGGAGGUUUAGAGGUUUUUGAAAGCGGCCAUGCAUAGGUACCAUCUUUAGGCUUGCCCUCCAGACGAAGAGCCCCCGUCUGCAAGUCUCUCACCUGAAAGUAAGUUGGAGUAAACGUGACAGCAACCCCAUUAGUUGAGCAUAAUUGAAACACAGAAAUUAAGUUCUUUUGUAACGAUGGAACACAUAAUACACUAUUAAGAAAGAAAGGUUUUGUAUAAGAAGGAAGAGAUAAAGAACCAGUGUGGGAGAUGUUGAGGCCUGACCCAUCACCAAGUAAGACACCAUCACCGCCACUGUAAGGAUUGUGGAGAGACAGAUUAGCCAAGUCAGAUGUCAUGUGGUGGGAAGCGCCACUAUCAAAGAGCCAUGUAGAUGCAUCAGACAUGAUUGGUUGAUUCAUCGGAGAAGGCAUGAUUGCUUGAUUAGCUUGAGGAUGCCACGCCAGGUUGAGUUGUUGAGAGUUCCAAGACUGUUGAGGUCGCAUGGCAGUCGCUUGUGGUGGCGUUGCUGCACCUCGAACAAGACGGAACUGUGGACAAUACUUGGCACUAUGUCCUUGUGUGCCGCAUGCUUGACAUCUGCCAAGAUAAGGUUUGUUAAACCUUGGUUGGAAUGUGGCUUGAUUCCCUCUGUUCUGCGAAUAGUUGUUGUGAUUGUUGUUGUUGUUCUUCCAGUGAGAGCGUGGUCUAGCAUCAGUAGCGUGUGCCACAAUCGGAGUCGCAGUAGAAGAGUCUUUACACAUGAGCAUGGCCUCGCGAUUAAUGAGUCUUUCGUAUAGCUCAGUGAACGGGAUCGUAGUGUCACGGCCGUUGAUAGCAUCAAUCUCUGGUUUGUACUCCUCAGGGAGUCCAUCAAGAAUUCUCUCAGUAACAUCUUCUGGAUCCAUUGGCUUGCCGAGCAAGGCUAGCUCAUCAACCUUGGACUUAACUAGGCGCAGAUAUUCACUAAUGGUCUUGGUACCUUUGACAGAAGAUUCAAUUUGCUUUUUGAUCUGGCGCACAUGACCACGAGUCGGAAUACCAAAGGUAGACAGGAGAAUAGUCCACACCUCUUUUGUUGUUGUUGCGCUGGAGACGACGGUCUGAACCGGUAAGGUGAUCGCACCUAUGAUAGCGCUGUAGAGAAGCCGGUCUUGUCGCCUCCAAGGAGCAAACGCCGGGUUUGGUUGAGCCUCGCCAUGAACAUUAAUAGUCUGAGCAGGUGCGGUGUUGUUAUCAUCAAUAAAGUGAUGAAGUUCAUGACCCUCAAGAAGCGCACGGAUCUGGCGACUCCACAUCAGAUAGUUCGUCGUGGUGAGUUUGGUCACGCUCGACAUGUUGACCGAGAGCAGGGUGGUGCGUGGAUCAUCGGGAUUGAACACAACCGUACGUUCAGCCGUGUGUUCAUUCAUGGGAAAAUUGGAUAAAUAGGACACUUUGAACUUGGAUUUGUCACAUUAGGAUUUCUAGAAGAUAUUUUAGGAAAAUAGGAUUUUAGAUCUUGUAAAAUACCAAAGUACCCUUAAUUUACCAAUUAUGUUGAAUUUAAAUUAUAAAUUAUAAUAAUUUUCGUAAUAGAUUUUAAUGUUAAAAUUAAAAUCUAUAAAAAUUAAAAAAUAAAAAAAACACUAAAUGGGAAAAAAGGAGACGCGGGAUGCCGCAAACCUAAUUCCCCUUUCUCUUUGUCUUCUCCGUCGUAGACUCGUCGCUCUCCCACGGCGAUUUAGGGUUCAACGGUGAGAAGCUCUGUUCUUCGUCGGUGUUUCAUCAGCCCGUGGUCUCUACUCUCGUCUCCGUCACCAUCCUUUUCGAUCUCACUGAAGACACAACGGCUGCGAAUCGUUCUUCCUCUUCGUCGGGUCAAAUCGAUUUUCGAAGUGUUCUUCCAUCAAUUUCGCCUCUCAAUCUCACAAUUCUUCACAGAAGGUAUUGGAUUUCAUCUAUAGAUUCUCAUAUUAAACGAAAUCGAAGUGUUCUUCCAUUAAAGCUUGAUUUUUUUUUAAAAUGAUUUGCCGUGUUUCUUAAAAUAAUUUUGUUUCACGGAUUGGUUGAUAUUAUUGAAACCUUUACAUGUGUGAUGAUAUUGAAACCUUUACAUGUUGAACUAAUAAUUUUGUCACGGUUUGUAGCUAUGUCUGAGGAGCUACCGAAGAGGCUUUUUAAGGAGGGCGAGGAGCCCCGAGUUACUCAGAUCAACAACAACUGCAGGAUCGACUACAUAAUCCGAAAGUUCCAAGCGUGGCUGCCAAAGGAGUUGGAUGUCGUGAAGAAAGACCCGGUUUUUCAUCAGAUUUUUAAGCUCCAUGAGAAUGGUCUUGGAUACUCUGCGAGGGUGAUACACAGCUUCUUGUGUAGGGAGCUGGUGACUUUCUUACAGCACGAGCUAUGGUUUGUCUUUGCGAGGAGACCGCUUCGAUUCUCAUUGCAAGAGUUCCACGCCGUAACCGGGUUUGAAUGCGAUACUCACAUUUCGAUUGAGGAGUUUGAAGAGUGGAAAUAUGAUGGUGGUUUCUGGAGCAAGGUUUUGAGGAGAAAAGAUGGAACAAUUACACUCUUCAACCUGUGGACUAAGGACAAGGAAGCUGUAAAGAAAUGGAAGAAUGCAGAUCGCAUACGUCUUAUCUACUUGGCGAUCAUUCUUUGUGUGGUAUUGGCGAGAGAUGAGAAGGCUAAUAUCCCCCUGAAGUACAUCGCGGUGGUCAUGGAUCUUGACAGAGUUCGAAGGUAUCCUUGGGGAGUUGCUGCUUAUGACCUUCUCUGCAAAUCCAUAGCCAAAAAUCGUUCCCAACUGAAGGAAAAGACCACUAGCUAUGUCUUGGAUGGCUUCUCAUACGCCUUGCAGAUUUGGGCAAUGGAAGCGGUGCCAAAAAUCGGGAAGCUUUGUGGAAAAAAGCUGGAUAAGGGUUUCAAGGACGGUCCUAGAUGCAUAAACUGGAUGGGAGCUGCGAAGGUGUCAUAUGAGGAGAUCAUUCGCUUGGAGGAGAUUAUUACACCCAAGGUAAUUUUAUCUAUUUAUGACGACUCUUUCCGGUUUGAAAUGAGUAGUUAGUAUCUAACUGUAUUUCCCUGUCUUGUGUAGGAUGACAUCUACCCAUACAUCUCAUGGACAGGAAAUUAUGAUGUUGUCAAAGCUCAGGCGUUUCGCAGAGAUGAUGAUGUGGAGGAUGACAGAAUCAAGGUUCUGAUGGAGAUGAUAAAGAAGGGGCAUGAUUUUAGUGAGCAUGUUUGGGAAACUGAAGAAAAUGAAGUGAUUUCUUUAUCUCUCGAUGACGAAUCAGCUGUGAAUGAUGAAGCAAGCGUGAAUGUUGAAGCAGCCGAGAGUGAUGACGACUUUCAGACUCCGAAAGGAUCAAAAAACGUUGGUUCUAGAUCAAAGAGGGGUAAAAAGAGGCUUCCCGAUCGUGGUAUGGAGAAGAGAAAGCAUAAGGUUCUCGCAAGUGGCGCAAAGCAAGCUCCUUUUAAUGAAGACAUGAAGGCUUUUAUGACACAGUUGUUUGAGCACAACUUCUCUGGAAUGGAACAAAGGAUACAGAAACAGAUGGCCGAGACAUUUGAGCAGAUGCGGACAGAGCUUAAACAAUCACGUAAGGAAGCCAGCGUUGAAGUUGAGCUUGGAGAGCCUUCACCGACAAAGCCAUCGACGAGCCAGGCACCGUUGAGGAGGUCCACACGCGGGGUAAACAAACACUAGUCUUCACCAUCCUCUUCAAUGUUAUUUUGUCUUGUUUAAGUUCGUGGUUUGCGUGUCUGUUUGUUUUAUUGGCAUCUAAGUUAUCGGCCUGAAUUUUGUUGUACUUUAUAAGGUCUCGGUUUGUAUGUGUGCUUGGUGUGUAAGUGUUCUUGGUUUGUAAGUGUCUUGUUUGAACUUAUGUAAUGGUCUGGAACUUUUAUGUAAAAUAAUUAUUAAUGAUAAUGUAUUUUGGUAUCUCAAUUAUUGCUUAUUUGUCAUGAAAUAACAGGAUGGUUCCGAGACUACAUUCGAUGUGAAUUAUAGUGAAGCAGAUGAUUUGGGUCGCGGGAUAGGUACACAAGGGGUUGAAGGGCUUUCUCAGACGUCGUAUGUGCCAGGCUUUGAUCCAUCUCAGGACAAAAAAGAAGAAGACUGGUGGACUCCAAUGACUUCGGUCCGAGGUUCAGUGGAUAAUCCAGUAAAGAAAGAAAAGACAGAGAUGAAUACAGCUCCACCGCCGUCACAGUGGGAGAAAUGGUGCAAAAGAAAAGGUCAUGGACUUCAGCUUAGCGAUUCACCAUUGCCAGAAGAUGCUUCUCCGCAGGCGUCACUUUAUUAUAUCUCCGAAGAGUCAUGGAAAGGAUUCACGGAAUGGGCAUUAAAGCCUAUACCUUUAACAAUUGGUCCUACAUGCUUUAAUUUGUCUGUAGCUACAAGAGUAGUAAGUGCUGGAAAAUGGCUUGGAAACGAGGUAAUGAAUCUUGUACUAACCUUUAGUGAAUUUAUCUUCCUAACACUUCUUAUAUGCUAUAUUACUUAACUUUCAUUGUAAAUUUUUAGGAGAUGGAUGCGGUUAUGUUUAUAUGGCGUGUGAACACUACAUUGAAUCGUUGGGCCCCUCGGCGUGUUGCUUUCAUGAGUGCUAUGUUUUGCCUCCAAGUAGACGCUGCAUACAAGAAGUUUUUACCAAACAAAAAAGCCUAUCAAUUGCCUGAUUUCCUUCUUGGGUACGGCAGAGGAGAGCUUCCAUCUCAUGGGCGGACUGAUCUAGUUUGGGGUGUUGAUGUUGAUCGACUCUACUUUCCUCUGUUUGUAAAUGGUAACCAUUCAGUUCUUUUUACAUCCUAGUAUACAUUUCUUCGUUUACAAAUUUUUGUGGACACGAACGCAGGUAAUCACUGGGUUGGUGUCUGUGUAAACAUCAUUGAAAGAAAAGUAGAAGUCUUUGAUUGCGGUCGGGGAAAGAACAGACAGUACGUUGAGAAGUUUGCUGCUAUCAUUCCUAGGAUUGUGAAGUCCGUUGCACCACAAGAAAGACAGAAGCAGCUACUCCUCUCAUCAUAUUCUAUCGUGGAUGUGCCUAUGAAGUUGAGAUUGAAUAAAAGUUGUUGUGAUUGCGGUGCAUACGCUUUGAAGCACUUGGAAUGCUCGCUGCUUGGUCUUGACGUCAGUUUAGUGGAUGAUGAAAUCAUUAUGGGUUGUAGACAGAAGAUUGGAGUGGACUUAUGGGAGGCUGCACACGACCCCAUCUUUGCUGAGGUUAUGACACGAUAUGUGCCUUCACCAUGGGAGAGGUCUGAGGUCUUUGACCUGGAGGAUGAUUGAUUAACUGUGAUUUUAGUAGUUUGGUUUGUUAGAAUUAGAAAACAACUUUGGCUUUGGUAUUUGAUUUGAAUUAAGAAACAACUCUAGCUUUGAUUUUGUAUAAAUUAUGAAACAACCCUAUAAAGAACAAAAUCAUAAAAACUGAGGACCCAAACCCUAAACAAACCCUUAACUAAAACCAUAACCAUAGACAUACCCUAACCAAACCCUUAACUUAAACCAUAACCAUAGACAUACCCUAACCAAACCCUAAAACCAUAAUACAAUCAUGAUUCUUAAUCAUACCCUAAACAAACCCUAAAUCUGUAAUUCAUAGUCAAACCCUUAACCCUAAAUAAACUCUAAAACCAUAACCGUAGACAUACUCUAACCAAACCCUUAACUAAAACCAAAUACAAAUUAAUCCAACGCCUCAAACACACACCUAUUUAUUGAUUAUUUUUGUACAUUGGUCACUAUCUAAGUACGUCCGUCCACUAUGUUUGAUAGAUGUUUAAACACUAAUUUAGAGGGUUCAAAGACAAAGUUCUUGUGGUGUUAUCGAUAAAUUCAAAAUGAUUUUUUUCUGCUCUGCCUUAGCUAGAAUACGCGUUCUGGGAGUAUGAAACGACGUAGUUUUGGUUAUUUUUUUGACCUAAUCUCUUUUCUUCCUCAUUCUUCCUCGACAGAGAGAUUGCAGCGGCGAAAAUUUGGAGAUCGACUCCCUCAUGUCUUCAGUAAAUUCUUCAUCCACUACAAGAGAUCGCCUCGCGAAACAACGGGGAAUUCCCACAAGAUGCAAUUGCGGUGAGGCAGUGAAUCGUUUCACUUCAAAAACAAUUCAAAAUCCGGGAAGAUUAUUUCAUUGUUGUCCUUUGGGAUCUCAAAAGGUUAGUCAUGUUAUCAUAUAACUGUCUCGUUGUUGUCCGAUGAGAGUAGAAUUAGUCAAUCUAAUUGUGUAUUGGAUGUUACUGAUGAAGGACAAAACCCACUUGUUCAAAUGGACUGACAAGUCAGUUGUUGAGGAGAUUGAAGACUUCCAAGACCUGUUUGACGUGUUACUCGUUGACAAUUCCGAGUUUCAGAAAUCAGUGAGAGCUGGUGAGGCCAUGAUGACACGCCAUGAGAGUAGAAUUCAAGAGAUGGAAGAUGCAAUGUGCCAUUGCGAAGAGAAGACCUUGGAAUGCAUUAGGGAACUUAGGGGCAUAAAAGCUUUGUUUGUGUGUUGUUUGGUGAUGGUCUUCUUGUACCAUAUCUAUGCAUGAUGUUCAACUACUUUUAUGUGCUUCCUCAACUUGUUGUUUCUUAUUUUCAAAGAAGUUAAGACCAUGUUUCUUGUUAUUUCGAGGUGAUCAUCAUCUACUGAAACGAAUUAUUUUGCAAUUACUUUGAUUGUUACUAGAAUAAAUCGAUUUGUCUCUAUAGUUUAGCAAAUACCAAAUUGUCAAAUAGGUUCUUAAACAGAAGAUCAAAUUGUUUCAAAAGCAAUAAAGAAAAAAACAGAGACAGAUGCAGACACAUAACAAACUAGAUGGGUAAAUCGCAUGUUCCUCUCUUGUGUCCUUCAGUUCCACAACGGCUACACUUAUGCUUUUUAUUCUUCUUUGAUCCUUGAGAAGAUGCGAUCUUGUCUUCUACUGAUUCAUACCUUCUCUUUACUGGUCGACCAGCACUCUUUCUUGUCUUUGGUGGUAAAACCUUUGCAAGUUUAACCUCAGCAGGGACAUUCCAUUCUGACUCUACAACUGCUAUUGGAUUAAUGGAAUCUGCAUAGGCGGUUCUCCACGCUGCAGUGCUGUAUAAGGCGUCAGUGAAUCUGUGCACUUCCAUACCUGUCAAUCUCAAAAAAAACUUGAUCAAUAUGAAGUCUAUAUGAUGAAAAUCCCGAAAAUAAAUAAUUCUCAAGUAUUCAUGUGUUUAUACUUCCAUACCUCGUGAAUAAAUUGCAGGAAUGGCGUGUCGGCAAGGAAUUUUUCCUAUAUCAUACUUACCACAUGUGCAUGUUCUUCUUUCCAAAUCAACAUGACAAUCAUAUAUGUCUCCUUUUACAACCGAUCUGAAGUUGUCAACCUUGUAAACCUGGAAUCCUUUUGCCUUCACAAUUCUCCUAUCAAUCUUUCUCUCCACCUUAGCGGUUAAAGGAUCUAGAUGCUUUGAGCUUAACAAGCGACGCUCAUAGAACCAUCGAGUCAACAGUUCUCUUAUACUAUCAAGCAAAGGAAUAACCGGAUAUUCUCUAGGUAUUCUAAGAACUGAAUUUAUAGACUCUGCAGGGUUCGUGGUCCUAAUGUCAUACCUGGAACCAGGGAAGAGAGAACGAGCCCAUUUGCGCACAUCAGCCUCCCGUAGAUAUCUUCCAAGCUCAGGACUCAUAUCAAAAAUUUCGGUGAUACGUUCUUGAAAUUCAGUGUAUCUAUAUGCCCGUGAAGCCUUUUCUACCAACGCAGUCAAUCCUUUUGUCUUGAAAAAUGAGACCACAUUGGUCAAUAAGUGAUGAAUGCAAAUUCCAUGUGCUGAUCGAGGGUAGACAGUCCCAAUAGCUUUAGAAAUAGACGCAUUUCUAUCUGAGACAAAAGCUAGGUCUUGACAAUCAGCAAUAACCACUUUCAACUGUCUGAAGAACCACCCCCAAGAAUCGUCAUUCUCUGAAUCAACAACCCCAAAUGCAAUCGGAUACAAAUUAGAGUUACCAUCUACAGCAGUAGCAACAAGAAGUGUCCCUUUGUAUUUAUUUUUCAGAAAAGUUCCGUCAACAACAAUCACCCUUCGCAUUGCAUUGUAGAAUCCUCUAACUGAUUGCCCAAAUGACAUAAAUAGAUACAUGAAUCUUCCCUUCUCAUUAGUUUCAUAGUGAGUAUGCGUACCAGGAUUUGCUUCUUUAAUCAUAUGCAGAUAUGCUGGUAUUUUAGAGUAACUGCGAUCUGGUAUACCUCUAGCAGCUGCAAUAGCAAACUCACGAGCUUCCCAAGCGUGCCAAUAAGUAAUCUCACAACUAUGCUCCAUUCUCAUAAAUUGAAUGAUGUCAUUCGGUUUUGGGCCAUCGUUUGCAUCAUCAAAUCGAUGUUGUAUCAGAGUCCCAAUUGUUCUUGCUGAUGCUGUUUUUCCGAAUUUCCUUUUCUUUGAAGGAGCACAUGAAUGUCUUCCAUCACAUUGGUUGAUCAUGAAAUAUGUAGACCCAUCUAUUCCUUCUGCACGCACAGUCCAGUUGCACAAUGCAUCUUUACAUCGAAUAUACCACCAUUUUCUCGUGGAUUUGAUAACAGUGUAAUCGAAAUUAUUCUUCAUCGCUAAAAUUUCCAUUGUUGCCUUCAGAACCCCUUUACUUGUGAAAAUUUGAUCCUUCUUCACGAAGUCUCCUCUCCAAGCUCGACCAUCCUUAUCACUGUCUCCAUUGUUUUGAAAAAGUUCAAUGUUUUCACUCCUUAAAGGACCGCAACCAUCUGCAGCGACAUGAUUCGUUCUUUUAACAAAAGACUCCUUUGACGGCUUGACAAACUCUGCUCGAUUUAUCUCAGGAACUUCUUCAUCCUCAACAUUACUUGAAUCGCAAGGCUCCUUAUUCAAAUCGAUAUUGACUCGUUCCUUUUGAUUUACACCGGAAACAGAGAACAUCACACACAAGGUAGUAGACGAUUCCCUCUUUGCAUAGCCCACAAAAUUAGAUGCUUGCCGAUCAUUGGUGAUAAUAAUAGGAGGAUUCCCUUUUUGAUUCAACAACGAAUAACUGAACUCGGCAUUAAUGGCAUUAUGGUCCACCCCAUAAUCCUCACACACCAUUAUCUUGAGCUGCUUCAACGUAGUAGUAGUUGCUAAUGUUACCAUUCGACCACGCCUUUCUUUGUCUACCACGAAACUCCAGUCAUCACCGCGACUACACAUCCAUUCACCCGAUUUGACAUAGAUUAGAACCAUGUUGUAUUGAUAGAGAAAAGAGAGAUGAUUAUGUCGAUGAAGAAGAGAGAAACACAAAGAACGACGACAAAAGAUCGUGGGAGAAGGAGAAAAACGUGGGAGAAAAUAUUCUUGGAGAUAUUUAGGGAAGAUUUAGUUUAGAUUUAGGAAACAUCUUUAACCGAUUAUGGAAGUUUCCAUAUUUUUCGGAUUUCCUGUAGAAUGUAUAACCUAUGUAAGUCAGAACACAGUAGAGUAGAUGUGAAACAUAUUCUUCCCUAGGCGCCACAUAAGGUAAAAGGCAGACCACAUCAUGGCUCCAAAUAUAGAUAGGGUAUAUCAACGCAUUGUGGCUACAUGUCGUAACCAAGCUAAAGGUAUAAGAAAGACAUCUUUCUUGAUUAUAACGUAACGUAACCUAGCUUUGGUUAGAAUAUAUAAGAAAAGAUAGGUUACGUUGUAUACCAAAGAUAUAUCUAUGUAUAAACAUUAGUAGCCGAAUUCUAGACUAAGUAGAUGACCAGAAUGAGUAUUAUAACUGUAGCUAGAAGAUGAAAUAAAAUAUGAUUCAUUUUAAAAAAAAAAACAAUUUAAACAUAUAUAUUGUCAUACUUAUGUUUCCAAUAGUUUUGAUAUUUUUUAACAUUUUUAAAAUUCAGUUUACUAUUUUUUCUAUUAAAAAAGGGUAAAAUAUGUCCAGAAUUGUCCAAAAUAUCAGAAAUCCUAUUGUGACAAAUAAAAGUUCAAAGUGUCCCAUUUUUCCAAUUUUCCCUUCAUUCAUUGUCAUUGAUACUUGGAGAGAAAGUUAGGUCUGAGACAAGAAGAAGAAACGAGAUUUGGGAGAAGAGAGGCGGAAGAGAAAAGAAAAAAAAAAUAGGUUUUCACCUAUAGGGCUCUGAUACCAUAUUGAGUAUUGGAAUUGAAUAUUAUUGAGUAAGGAGCUCUGUUCUUAUAUGUACAGAGAUGAUCACAAGAAAGGCAAGGCAAUAUUCUAGGAGAUACAAUAGACUAAUUACAGACUAUAUAGCCGUUGAUAGACGUUAAUGAUUAUACACUUUCCAUACUCUUACAGUUCCAACCGUCAUUACCGUCUUUAUACUUCUUGUUAUAGGAGUUGUUCUUUGUCGGAGGAUAAUGUCAACGCAAAGAACUGAAGUCGAAUGUUAGUUUCUUGUGUUUAGCUCUCGCUGUUUCCGUUAAUUAUAAGCAUAUCCAAGAGAAAAACAUGAAGCAGAACUAAUACACAUUUGCUUUGCAGCUGAUAGUGAUAUUUCAACAACACAUUCAUCGCAAUAUGACUUUAAGACAAUUGAAGCUGCAACAAACAAGUUUUCCAGGAGUAAUAAGCUCGGUGAAGGUGGAUUCGGCGAAGUUUACAAGGUAAGAAGGUCCAAAUAUUCCAUUUUACUAAGUUACUGUAGGUUAUGAAAAUAACCAGCUAUGCUUGUUUCAUUCAAUGGUAUUGUAGGGUACACUUUCAAAUGGAACUGAAGUGGCUGUGAAGCGACUGUCGAAAAAUUCAGGACAAGGGAUAAGAGAGUUCAAGAACGAGGCUGUCCUUGUCUCAAAACUUCAACACAGGAAUUUGGUUAGGCUUCUUGGAUUCUGUUUGGAAGGAGAUGAAAAGAUUCUGAUCUACGAGUUUGUCCCCAACAAAAGCCUUAACCAUUUCCUAUUUGGUACGGCUCCAAUAGUUUUUCCUUAUUUUUGGAAGGAAUAUUCUUGCUCAGUUUUAAAGUGACUGAUCGUACAUGGACAUGAGCAGACCCUGAGAAGCAAAGCCAACUAAACUGGACUAAGCGAUACAAGAUCAUUGGAGGAAUAGCUAGAGGAAUUCUUUAUCUUCAUCAAGAUUCACAGCUCACAAUCAUACACCGUGAUCUCAAAGCCAGCAACAUUCUGUUAGAUGCCAAUAUGAACCCAAAAAUUUCAGAUUUUGGGUUGUCGACAAUCUUUGGAAUGGAUCAAACCCGAGGCAAUACCAGCAGAAUUGCUGGAACAUAGUAAGUUCUGCUCACAAUAGCUGACAACACACAGAGUUUGUCUAACCUUUUUAACGGCAUAUUAACCCGAGUUGUAUGUUUUCAGUGGUUACAUGUCUCCUGAGUAUGCAAUGCAUGGUCAAUACUCCAUGAAAUCUGACAUUUACAGCUUUGGAGUCUUAGUUCUCGAGAUUAUAAGUGGCAAGAAAAACAGCAAAGCUUACAAGAUGGAUGAAACUAGCACUCCUGGCAACUUGGUCACUUAUGUGAGUAUGAAGAAAAACAACAAUUUUUUUUCUCUAUAAAUAACAUAUAACAAACGUAUGACCGAGUUUCUUGAUUGUUCAUUAUGUUAGGUUUGGAGGCUUUGGAAAAAUGGAUCGCCACUUGAGCUGGUGGAUCCAGCUAUUGGAAAGAACUAUCAGAGUAAUGAAGUCACUAGAUGCAUCCAUAUCGCACUCUUAUGUGUACAAGAAAAUCCAGAAGACCGACCAAUGUUAUCAACUAUCAUCUUGAUGCUCACUAGCAACACAAUCACUGUACCAGUGCCUCGCCUACCAAGUUUCAUCCCUCGGAGCAGGCAGGAACUGGACCAGAUAUCUGAAGGACUAGAAUCAAGUCAAUCUACAGGAAGAUCUGUUGGUCAUUCUGUGAAUGACGUGUCAAUAACUGAUUUAGACCCUCGUUAAAGAUAUGAGUAUAUUCUCUAUGUGGAAACUUGCGUGGGACUUGUAUAAUCUUAUUUCAUGUAUUCUCUCUGUUAAGAAUUUAAUAUUUAGCAUUCGUUUAGGUGACUGGAAUAUUCUCUUUUCAAUGCAAAAAUCAUAGUAACACGUUUUAGGCUGUUUAGCCGUUGGAGGAUCUUUAGUAUCCAAAAGAGGAAAGCAUAUCAAUAUAUGAAACAGGACAAAAACAGAGUAGUAAUGUUUAUGAGUUGUCUUUUAAUAAGAUCUCCUUGUUUCACACGGCAACAGUUCUGAUGACAAAAAAAAAAACAGUUCUGAUACUCCCCAACGCUGUUUCUCAAACAAGUGUUGCACUCAGCAUUUGAUUAUAAAGCAGCUGAUAUAUGAUAAGCAUACUUUAAAGUUUAAAACACACGUUCAUUUGUUGUAAAUUUUUGUAUAAAUCUUAUUUCAUGUAUUCUCUCUGUCUUAGCUCAACUCCAGUUUAGAAAUACUUAGCAUAAAUGACUGGAGUAUUCUCCUUUCAAUGCAAAAAAAAAAUGUAACACAUUUUCGCCAUUGGAGGAUUUUCGAUAUCAAAAUAGGGAAAUCAUAUUCAUUAUAUGAAACAGGACAAAAACAGAGUAUUUAAUAUUGUUCUUGAAUUGUUUGUUUUUUUUUUUCACCUUUUUUAGCCCGCCGUGAAAUGUUACGAAAAUGCACGUACAUUCGUUUCAAUUUGGUUGAAGCUGCAACAAACAAGAUUCCAAGGCGAGGUUAAGCCAAAUUUGUAUUACAUGUUAUGAAAGUUAAGAGUCUUGUCUGUGCGAGGUUGACUUAGUCACUUCACUUAAACCAUUCAAGCUCCGAAAUUAGACGGAUACCGGAUACGGUACGACUAUAUCCGUAUAUGAAUUGACUUUUUUUUUUUUGGAUUGAAUGUCUAUUCAAAUAAAGUCGUUUGGUUGGAGACGGAAUCGUUGAGGACUUGGUCUCACUAGAAACUAGAGCUGAAAAUUUGAAAGUGGGGGUGGUCAAUUCCACACAACGCAACUUUUCUCACGUCUAAGAUAAACGUUGAUGUACGUAACGACUAACGAUCAUCGUAUGUCUUUUAGUCAAAAUGGCUUCUAGUAAUAAUAGUAUCACCUAUGUCGUCAGUAUUAUGGAUCCACACUAGAAAGUCCAACAUUAUCGUUACUGACGUUGACUUUUGACUUAUCGUGACGUUUCUGAAAGCUUUGAGGAUCACUAUCAGUGAGAAACUUCCAUAUACUGUUUAAAGCUUGUAAGAAACGAACGGAUGCGUUUGCUUUUGCUACAAGCUUAUAGUGAAUCAUAAAGCAGAUGAGUUUGUUUUCGAUACUCUGUUUUGUCCUAAUAAGCUUUGGCGUUGCUUCGGUUUCAGCACAAAGAUGUAUGAAUAGAAGAGGGAAUUUCAUGCCCAAUGGUACCUACGACGCAAACCGCCGUCUCAUCCUCUCUUCACUUCCUUCCAACGUCACAAGCAAAGAGGGCCUCUUCUUCAACGGUUCCAUAGGACAAGAACCAAACCGUGUCUACGCAGUAGGGAUGUGCAUCCCUGGAUCAACUUCAGAUGACUGUUCUGUUUGUAUCAAGACCGCGUCUGAUCGUUUGAUAAAGAAUUGUACUAACCAAACAAACGCGUUUGCUUGGCCUGCUGACCCCACGCUUUGCCAUGUGCGCUACUCCAACACUUCUUUCUUAGGUUCUGCGGAUCUGAAACCGCGUGUACUGCUUCCUAAAGAAGGAGAUAUCAUCUCAAAUCUAACAGAGUUCACAAAAACAUGGGAAGACUUGGUUGUUCGUAUGAUUGAUGCAGCCUCAGCAGCAAAAAGCACACCAACCUCUAGUAAUAACCAUUAUAAAGCUGAUAUUGCACCCUUGACAGUUCUCCAGAACAUAUACGCUUUGAUGCAGUGCACGCCUGAUCUUUCCUCUGGUGAUUGUGAUACCUGUCUGCGACAGAGCGCAAGGGCCUACCAGUCAUGCUGUGGUCAGAAGCAAGGAGGCGUUGUUACGCGGCCAAGCUGCUUUUUCAGGUGGGACUUGUAUGCAUACUCUAAGGCCUUUGAUAAUAUUACUGUGGCUUCUCUUCCUCCUCCUCCUCGUCUUCCUCCUGUGGCUUCUCCUCCUCCUGCAUACGAUCAGGCCAGAACGACCGAUAAUAGUAAGUGUUUUCAAAUUGAAGAAAAUUUAUGAUUGUAUGAAAUAACUGAAACAUAUGACAUUAUUUAUUAUGUGAUUAUGAGAAGAUAGCAAAGGAAUCUCAUCUGGAGUUGUCGCGGCUAUUACAGUUCCAACUGUUGUUACCGUCUUUACACUGCUUGUUCUAGGAUUUGUUCUUUGUCGGAGGAGAGAGUCUAUGCAAAGAACUGAUGUUGAAUGUUAGUUUCUUGUCUUGUUGUUUCCUUUCAUUAUAACCAUAUUUUGUUCCUUAAGCCAAGAGAAGAAAACAUGAAGCAGAACUAAUAAACCUUUGCUUUGCAGCCGAUAGUGAUAUUUCAACUCCACAUUCAUCGCAAUACGACUUUAAGACAAUUGAAGCUGCAACAAACAAGUUUUCGAGGCAUAAUAAGCUCGGUGAAGGUGGAUUCGGCGAGGUUUACAAGGUGAGGAGUUAUCUAUUUUUCAUUUUUUUGGAAGUUAGUAUAGACUAUUAAAACAACUGGCUAUGCUUGUUUCAUUCAAUGGUAUGUAGGGCACACUUUCAAAUGGAACAGAAGUGGCUGUGAAGCGACUGUCAGAAAAGUCAGGACAAGGGAUAAGAGAGUUCAAGAACGAAGCUGUUCUUGUCUCAAAACUUCAACAUAGGAAUUUGGUUAAGCUUCUUGGAUUCUGUCUGGAAGGAGAAGAAAAGAUUCUGAUCUAUGAGUUUGUCCCUAACAAAAGCCUUGACUAUUUCCUAUUUGGUAUGGUUCCUUUCAAUAGCUUUUCUUAUUGGAAUGAUUCUUCUUCAGGUUUUAAACUGAUUGAUCUUACAUAUGGAGAUGAACAGACCCUGAAGAGCAAGACCAGCUUGAUUGGACUCAGCUUUAUCUUCAUCAAGAUUCACAGUUACAAUCAUACACCGUGAUCUCAAAGCCAGCAACAUUCUUUUAGAUGCCAAUAUGAACCCAAAAAUUUCAGAUUUUGGAUUGUCGACAAUCUUUGGAAUGGAGCAAACUCGAGGCAAUACCAGCAGAAUAGCUGGAACCUAGUAAGUUCUGCUCACAAUGUUUGUUGAACCUUUUUUUCUAACGGCAUAUUAACCCUGAGUUGCAUGUUUUUAGUGGUUACAUGUCUCCCGAGUAUGCAAUGCAAGGUCAAUACUCCAUGAAAUCUGACAUUUACAGCUUUGGAGUCUUAGUUCUUGAAAUUAUUAGCGGCAAGAAAAACGGCGGAGUUUACCAGAUGGAUGAAACUAGUACUCCUGGCAACUUGGUCACUUACGUGAGCAUAAUGCCCAAUUUUUUUAAAUAACAUAUUUCAAGAUAUGACUGAUUUUCUUGAUUGUUCAUUGUGCCAGGCUUGGAGGCUUUGGAAAAAUGGAUCACCACUAGAGCUGGUGGAUCUAGCCAUUGGAAGGAAUCAUGAGAGUAAUGAAGUCACUAGAUGCAUCCAUAUCGCGCUCUUAUGUGUACAAGACAAUCCAGAAGACCGUCCAAUGUUAUCAACUAUCAUCUUGAUGCUCACUAGUAACACAAUCACUCUACCAGUGCCUCGCCUACCAAGUUUCAUCUCUCGGAGCAGGCAUGAACUGGAGCAGGUAUCUGAGGGACUAGAAUCAAGUCAAUCUACAUGAAGAUAUGUUGGUUAUUCUGUGAAUGGUGUGUCAAUAACUGAUUUAGAGGCUCCUUAAAGAUGGAAGUAUUCUCUAUAUGUACAAAUUUGAAUGAUGCUUUGUAUUCUCUCUGUUUAGAAUUUAAUAUUUAGCAUUCAUAUAGGUUACCGAAAUAUUUUCUCUUCAGUAUAAAAAUCUUAGUAACACAUUCUCGCCAUUAGAGGAUCUUCAUGAUGAUAACAGAGUAGUAAUGUUUGUGAAUCAUCCUUUAACAGACCUCCUUGUAUCACACGGCAACAAUUCGGAUAAUCCCCAACGCUGUUUCUCAAACAAUUAAUGUUGCAAUAAACAUUUGAUUGUAUGUGCGAAGCUGAUUGAUUCUUUCAAUUGUUUUGUAGCUCUUCUUUGACUUAAUAUGCUAAUUCCGUCUAAGGUCCAGAAUUUUCACCGUUAAAAAAAAUUUGCUAAAUCCUUAUCACUAAAUUAACGAUUCAAACCACUCUUGUUAGAGUCACAGAGGUUAUUCUUUAGAUCGGAAUGUCUAAAAGUUAACUCCGAUACUGGGAGAGAUUAUGACUUCCACCACUAAACUCUCAUUACUAGACUAGCGACUUUUUAAACUUACUAAAAUAUAGCCAUCUAAUAAAUCUACUUUCUCUAUAAGGGCGAACUCUCUCAGGCACACACUUCGAGGUCUCUCCAAGAUCUAGUUUAUCCGGCGCCGGCGAAGCGGUUUCUCGUCGGCGCGGGGUACUAUUUUCGGCGUGCUGCUAGCUCUCAUCUUCAUGGCUCUGUCACGCAUCCUGUUUUGUUUGUCACUAGAUCGCUUCUGUUGGUCAAUCGAAGGAGAAAGACACCUACGGAUUCAACGACGAAGCCGAGGACUCUUCGUCUCAGAUCUUCCGGCGGUCUCUCUUCCUCAGAUGGCCUCUCCCCCAGCGACGAGUCGAGAGGGUUCUCUCACCACCGCUGUGUUCCGGUUCUUAGGGACAGUUCCGAUGAACCUCCCUCUGGCUGCCGUGGGACAGGUUAUGUUAUCAACUUUGUCCCGUGCUUUCAUAUAUCUUUGGAGCAGAUAUUUCAUCUGAAGUGCUCUUCCUUUCUUUCUUCGGGAAGGCUUGAGCCUAUUAUCACACCACGGUUUGCUCCUCUCCAGUGUUCAGGCACCAGAUCUCAAAGCUCCACGAGAUUAGAUCCGAAUUUUGUCGGUGGUUCUUCACUCUACUCAUCUCCUAAAGUGGUGCUCUCCUCCUAUGCGUGGAUCCUCCUAAACGGCUAUACUGUUCCUCUUCGACAAAGCUUCUCCGGUGACCUCUUCCACGGCACCGUCGAAUGGCCAAGAUCCGACGCGUCUCGCUCCGAGCAAGUUGUGGGUAGUGGGCUGGAUUUCAAUUACGUUUGGGCUUGGCCCGUCGAAGCUACCAAACCUGCCAGCCCAAAGUUCAGCUUGAUAAAACCCAAAUUCAAGAAAGAAGAUGCGAUUCAUAUUACAAUGGGUUUGGGUGUUUGGGUUAAAUUUAUAGAGAUUUUCGGUGGGUUCACUGGAAUCUCCUUUCAAUGCAUAUUGCCAUAUCUCUCCUUUGGGAUGAAUUCACCGGUGGGUGCGCCGGUUUGGGACUCGAUUUCACCUUCCUUCUCUCGUGAGAAGUGUCCUUUACCACCAUUCCUUCUUUCCAUGAAAGGAGAUGUUUUCUCGGUUUCAUUAUCGAGGUAUAGUUUCAGCUUCUUCACCGUUUUGUCAUCUUGUGUAGCGGUCUGUACGGGGCCAGAAGAUGCAAUCGAGUCUACUGCGGUUUUUCUCGUAGGUGAGAACUGGCUCUCAACGUCACUUGUGACUAUCUUUCAGCUAUCCGACUUCGUCGUGAAAGCCUUAUUGACGCAGUUAAGCUUGGUCUUGAUUUUGCUGUCAUCAUCUUCUCUUGAAGAAUUAUCCUACUUAGCUUUUUUUAUUUGUGUUGUUUAUGCUUUUAAUGAAAGAGGAUGUCACAUUCCCUCAUGUUAUUGUAACCAAACAAGUUAAGUCUGAAUGAAAUUAAGUUGUGUUCAAAAAAAAAAAAGACUAGCGACUUUUUAACUCAAACCGGUUAAUUACUAAACCGAGAUGGCAUGAACCGGAAACCAAAGCUAUUAACCACGAUUUCUUCCCUUCCCCCGCCCGCACUCAGUCGCUCCUCUGCGGAUUCUCAUUUUUUAUGCGGUAAGGAAAGAGGGACUAACCUUCUGGUUGGAAUGGUGGUUUUAGGAUAUUGGUUUGGGUUUGGAGUUUUAAUUCACUGAAAUUAGAUUUUCAUCUGUCUGUUUGUUUAGAACUCUCCAUUGCAGCUCACACUAACACUUACUGUGCUGCUCUGUCUGCAUCCAUUGAAAGUUGGCAACUUUUGCAGAAGAGUUGGAAUCAAUUACGUUUAAAUUAGAUGUUAGGAGAAUACUAAACGAACAAAAUUCAGUUCUUGUAAUAAUUUUGCAUUUGAAAUGGUUCCACUUUUGAACAGGUGGAAUCUUGAAACGUCUUGUUGUGAUGAUAAAGUCGUUGGCUUCUCCUUGCAGUGUAUGUAACUCUGUAUCCUUCUCCUUAUUCAAUCAACGUUGUCUAAUGUAACCUUUUUUUAAUUUAAUCCAGAAGCAUGUCGUUGACCAUACGAGUCUUGUGUUGACACACCUAUUUACUACUUUGUUUAGGGAGCUGGAUCUCAGAAACUCAAGUUUGACAGAUCUUGUAAGAAAGUGAAGCAGAGAGCAGUAAGAAUGGAACUCACAAUCACUCAACCUGAUGAUUGGCAUCUUCAUCUCCGUGACGGUGAUCUUCUUCACGCUGUUGUUCCCCACAGGUCAUAUACCUUCCUUAAGAUGAGUUUGCAUUUGUUUAAUUGUGUGUUGGUACUGUUGUUGUGUGUUUUCACUUCAAUGCUUUUUCCUAAACUACCAAUCUAUGUAUUUCUUUUGAUGCUUGUGUUUUGUCUGAUGGGGGAAGUUGGUUGUGUUUGCAUGUGUGUAGUGCGAGUAAUUUUAGGAGAGCGAUUGUGAUGCCGAAUCUGAAGCCUCCUGUUACAACCACUUCAGCUGCCGUUACUUACCGUGAAUCCAUCAUGGAAGCUUUGCCACAUGGGAGUAGCUUUGAUCCACUAAUGACUCUUUAUUUGACUGACAAAACCCAUCCUCAUGAGAUCAAGCUUGCCCGUAUGUACCUUUGCCAUUGUUUCUUCCUCAUGUUGCAAGUAGUCAGAUACAUUAUCACCUUAUGUAUAAUAUAAUCUCGUUUUUUGUUUAGGGGAAAGUGGAGUGGUUUACGCGGUGAAGCUGUACCCUGCUGGAGCUACAACCAACUCUCAAGAUGGUGUUACUGACCUCUUUGGAAAAUGCUUACCAGUACUAGAAGAGAUGGUCAAACAAAACAUGCCUCUUCUGGUAAAAUAAAUCACACAAGCAGAUUACACUUUCUAGACUUUAUUGUCUAAGGAAUGUUUUUGGUUAGGUUCAUGGGGAGGUCACAGAUCCGAAUAUCGAUGUCUUUGACCGCGAGAAAAUCUUCAUCGAGACAGUUCUGCAGCCUCUAAUCCAACACCUUCCACAGCUUAAAGUAGUGAUGGAACACAUCACUACCAUGGAUGCUGUGAACUUUGUUCAAUCUUGCAAAGAAGGUUUUGUGGGUGCAACAGUGACACCACAACAUCUCCUUCUCAACAGGAACGCUCUUUUCCAAGGAGGAUUUCAACCGCACAACUACUGCCUUCCCGUUCUCAAAAGAGAGAUUCACCGUAUGUUCUGUUCUUCACUCUCCCUCAUUGAGAUUCACUGAGGCUUCAUUUCUUAUAGCUUUUACUUCAAAUUUUAACAGGAGAAGCCAUUGUUAAAGCUGUAACUAGCGGAAGCAAGAAGUUCUUCCUAGGCACAGAUAGUGCACCACACGAACGGAGAAGAAAAGAAUCAGCCUGCGGAUGUGCUGGUAUUUACAGCGCUCCUGUUGCCUUGUCCUUAUACGCAAAGGUCUUUGAUGAGGCUGGUGCGCUUGACAAGUUGGAAGCAUUCACAAGCUUCAAUGGACCUGACUUCUAUGGCCUACCGAGAAACUCGUCAAAGAUUACUCUCAAGAAAGAUCCUUGGAAGGUUCCUGAGGCUUUCUCCUUCUCCUUUGGGGAUAUCAUUCCCAUGUUUGCUGGAGAAACCCUUCAAUGGCAACCAUUCUUCGAAUGAUUUGUAUUUUUUGGAUUAGAUUCCCUUAUGAUUUAUAUGCUGAGGAAUAAAAAGCAAGAAUGUUGUUUAUUAUGUGUGUUUGAAUGUGUUUUUUUUAUCCUCCAUUGAAUCUAAUUGACAGUACAAUUCUCAAUCAGAGUGUGCAUGAUGCCUACUCUCUCCGAAGAAGAUGUCCCAUUCUCAUAAACUCUAGAUGGACUCAUUGGCCAAGGUAUGUCUUCCUCCAUAUUCACCGAUCCAGCUAGAUUCUGGUUGUGCCCAUAUGGAGACGUGUAAGAGUCUUCUGCUCCAGUUUCAUCAUCGGUUGUCAUGUCCGUAGCUGUUUGCAUUUGUCUAGGAGUCUCGUCUUCCUCGUAAGACUUUGUAUAUGAAGUUUCUCUGCUUGUGGAUUCUGAACACGUUCUCUGCAACAUAUAUGCAUCAUGUUUUACAUAUUUCUUCCAGAACACUUAAAGAAACCUAAAGAUUAUAGAUACCUGAAGCUGCUUUGUGAGAGAAGAAUCUUCUUGAAUUGGCUGUACAGCUUGUCGAUCGUCUGUUCUUCUAAUUUGUGAAGCUUGCUUUCUAGUUUCACCGCGCUUCUUGAUGUCCAUUUCUUUACUGGGAAUGUACUUUGGUAGAGAAGAGUGAUCACAAGCCAAUGGCUCAGUGUUAAAGUACUGUUUCACAGUGCAAGGAGUUAACCAUAAAGAACAACAAAACCAAGGAAACAUGUAAAAGAUUCAAAUCCAAGUACCUCGCUGUUGAGAGCAGUAGCAGCAGUGCCUCGAAGAUCCGGAUCUAUAGAGAGCAAAGUCUCUAGAAGAGAAAUAACAGGAACCGGAAACUCUUUGAAUGUCUCUGCUAUAUUUGAUCCAUAUGGAAACAUUGGUCUUAACGGAGCCGAGAGCGUUAGCUUUGUCCAAUAAUCCUCUGAAGGUGAUCCACACAACUCGAAUAUCUUUUGCAGUUGUUCUGUCUUAACAUUAGAACAAAGGCCUGAGACUUUUGCUUAUGUGGUAAGAACAAAGACUGGUUUGAAUGUAGUAAUGGCUUACCUGGUUUUUACCAGGAAGGAUAGGCUUUCCAGCGUAUAUCUCACCUAUUACACAGCCUGUGCUCCACAUGUCGAUGCCAACACUGUAACGGGAAGCUCCAAGCAAAAGCUCAGGAGGUCGGUACCAAAGAGUUACAACGUUUGUAGUCAAAGGAACACUGUUGUGAGGAUCAAAGAACGUUGACAACCCAAAAUCAGCAAUCUUGAGGACUCCAUGUUGGUUUAUGAGAAGAUUAGAGCUUUUUAUAUCUCUGUGAAGCACAUGGUUGGUGUGACAAUGAUCAAGCCCUCUUAAGAGCUGCGUCAUGUAGCAUUUAACCUGAAAGAGAUUGAUAAGAAUAGAGAGAUGGGUACAAAGAUGUUAUGAAAACAGUUACCUGAGGUUCUGAGAAUUCGACACCGAGUAGUGAAGAGAGUCCUAAGAGGUCAUGCUCCAUGUAUUCGAAGAUCAUGUAGAGGAUAGAGGAGUCGUGUUCUACAAGCAUUAGCCCUUCUAGUUUGAUGAUGUUCGGAUGGUCUAGCUUGCGGAGGAUUGUGAUCUCUCUGGCUAUGCACUUGAUGCUUUCUGAGUUGGUGACAUCGAAUCUUAUCCUCUUCAGAGCUACGGUCUUGUUGCGGAGAAGAUCUCUAGCUUUGAACACCUUGCUGAAUGUUCCUCUCCCAAUCUGUUUAUCAAAUGAGAAUCAAUAAGGAGAGGGAGAGUCUUAAAAAGAGAAGAGAGAGAGAGAGAGACUUGUUCUUGCUUCUCGAAGUGAGAUUCACGGCGAGGAAUCCAACCAGCAAGAGAUUCACCAGCGACGGAGAUAAGCCACGGCGGCCAACCGGAGUCAGCUAGUUCCGAUGAGCGAGGAGGAGGAUUAACAACAAGAACGCUCUCUUCUCUCUUCAGCUCCUUAAGACCUAACUUAUUAUCACUUGCCUUCAACAACUCUGAAACCUUUUGAGGUUGAUCAUCACCAUCACCCUCAGCUAUUACCGUUCUUGAAGGAGGCAUGUGGAAGCGAGGACGGUGUUCCGGCGACUCUUGUGUUGCCGGUUUCUUUCUCCGAGAAGAAAUGAUGCAACCCAUGAUGAUAAAAGCUUGAAACACACGGCACUGAAUGUGAAUGUGUUAACAUUGUGAAUAUGAUGGAGAAGAGACAGAAUAUAGAAAUUGCAAAUAAAGUAACGCAAAUAAAAAAAAAGCGGAAAGGAGGAAAUGUCUGAAGGCUGUUCAGAACCAAAUUCGCCGGAAAGUGACAGCACCCUCAACCUUAACUUUUUUUCUUUUAAAGGAAAACAAACUUAUUGACGUGGACCCCAAUCCAGAAGGCUAAGUGGCUUAUCAUUUUUAUUCUCUUUAGGUUACGUUAACUUGAAGAACAAUCUAAUGGUUAACCGAUUCGGUUUAGUUCGGUUUGUUUGAUGUUUGCUGGUACUUUGAGAAUAGGAGUUACUUUGUAUUUUUUUUUUGAAUUGAAUGUUAAAUUUAAUUUAAAAGAAAAAAAAAACUUUUUUUUACAUCAUGUAUGUCCUUUUUUUUAAUCUUGAAUCAAAAUAAAAACUCUAACUAACUUCUCCUCCUAUAUUAACUUCUCAAAUAAACUUUAAAAUGAAACUUCUAUCUUGUAUCAAACUAAUGUUGCAUCCCUUCUCCAAUCUCUCUAUCUCCAUUUCUCUGCACUAAAUGUGAGCUUGUUUAUCAUAUUUUUAUCAAGAAGCUUUAUCAAUAGGAUUGCUGGAGCUUCAACUUCCCCAUGUCUUCUUCUAUUCUGCUCUCUCCAAACCAUAUACACAGUCGCUUGAAACAUAUACUUAAUGAGAAACAAAUGCAUCUUCCUCCUCGUCGAGUCCCUCAUAAUUCUCAGUAACUCUUCCCAUCUCACUGUGUACUUAUCUCUCAAAAUCCCCUUCAUCAAAGCCUCCCAAAUCUGAGCAGAAUAAGCACAUUCAAAGAAUAAAUGCUCAAGAGUUUCCAAUGGCUCAUUGCAUAAGACACAAGAUACAUUGACAUUGACAUUCCCAUUCCAAUAUCUCAUCCGAUCUCCAGUAGCAAGUCUUCCUUUCAUUGCCGUCCAUAAUAUGAAUGAAUAUUUAGGUGUUGCAUAUUUGAACCACACUUCAUUGUACCAGUGGCAGAGUUGAUGUCUUUCUCUAGUGAACUGCCAUGUUUCUCUCGAUGAGAAAGACCUUUUAUAUUGACCCUUCACAUUCAACCAUAGAGAUACAUCCUCCUCUUAGGUUCUGAGAAUUCGACACCGAGUAGUGAAGAGAGUCCUAAGAGGUCAUGUUCCAUGUACUCAAAGAUCAUGUAGAGGAUAGAGGAGUCGUGUUCUACAAGCAAUUAGCCCUUCUAGUUUAAUGACAUUUGGAUGGUCUAGCUUGCGGAGGAUUGUGAUCUCUCUGGCUAUACACUUGAUGCUUUCUGAGUCGUUUAGAUCGAAACGGAUUCUUUUCAGAGCUACGAUCUUGUUCCGGUGAAGAUCUUUAGCUUUGAACACCUUGCUGAAUGUUCCUCUCCCAAUCUGUUUAUCAAAUGAGAAUCAAUAAGGAGAAGGAGAGUCUUAAAAAGAGAAGAGAGAGAGAGGGAGAGGGAGAGGGAGAGACUUGUUCUGUGCUUGAUGAUCAUCAUCAUCAUUAGCUAUUAUUGUUGCUGGUGGAGGAACUUGGAAGCGAGGACGGUGUUCCGGCGACACCGGUUCUUACUUCGAGAAGAGAUGAUGCAACCCAUAUGUUGACAAAAGCUUGAAACCCACGACAGUGGAUAUACAUUGUAAUAUGAGAGAAUAUAGAAAUUGCAGUUAAAGGAAAGCAAAAAAAAAAAAAGCAGGUAAAGAGAGGGAGAUGUCUAAAGUCUGUUGUACAGAACCAAAUUCGCCGGAAAGUGACAGCACUUGAAUGUCUUCACUUUUUCUUUUAUGGAAAAACACACAUAUUGACGUGGACCCAAAUCCAGAAGGCUUAGUGGUGGCUAAUCAUUUUUAUUCUCUUUUAGACUAGGGAUUAACCCGGGCUACGCCCGGGAUUUUUAUUUUUUUCUAAUUUAAGUUGUUAAAUUAUUUAUAUUUAGGCUAUGAUUUAUAUUUAUAUAAAUGUUAAAAUGCAUGUCAUAAUUAAAAUUUAUUUUUAAAUUUUAACACGUUAAAUUAACAUAUUUUUUACUAUUUAAAUAUUUUUUUGUAAUUUUAUUGGCUAUCUAGUUAUCAUAUUUAGCAAAACUAUCUUUUUUUUUUUUUUUUUUUGACAGCAAACAUUUACAGACUCAUAUUGACCCUGUAAACCAAAUUGGUAACUCUGCAUCCAUGUGAACGACGAAAGACGGUUGUUUCCUAGCACUCCGUGCAUUUAGCAAAAACUAUCUUUUGAGUGUUGGAAUAAAUGUUUUAGAGAUUUUAUUAAACUGCAGAGUAUUUUUGGAUCGACCACAUGCUCAACAUUCGAUCGAUCCGUAAAAAGAUGGUCGAUCUCCUUGGCGAGGUAAGUACAAUUUUAGCAAAAAUAUCUUUUAUUUUCAAAUAUUAAGUAUAUAACUAUUCUUUUUAAUAUUUUUUUAAUUGUAUUUUUGAUUAAAUUAUUGUAUUAUAAUGGUUAUGUAAAUAUUUUUGUGAUGUUUGAAUUUUUGUUGUUCGUAUACUUAACCUAGAUGAUAUUGAUGUUUAACAAUUUAUUGUUUUCUGGAAAUAGAAAAUAAUGAUAUAUCAAAACAUAUCUAAUACUUGUUAAAUGAUAGUAUAAUGUAAAUUACAUCCAUUAUUUGAAAAUAAACAUUUGUUGUUUUUAUUUUUAUUUUAAAUCAGAAAUUAUUUUUAUUUAAAAACAUUAUUCAUAUAUAAUAUAAUAGUUUAAGUUUGGAAGAUUAAUAUAUAUAUAAAUUAUGUGUAUUUUUUAAAACAUAAUUUAAGAUAUUAUAUAUUGAGUAUAUGAAUAAAAGCUGAAUUUCUUACCUUGAAAAUCAGAUAUUUAUAUUUUUAUCUUCAUGUUAUACUCACCAAUCCAUCAUUGAUAUUUAUAACUCAGUAUGUUUUUUAAAAAACUUAGUUUUAAGUAAUAAACGAAUUUAAUAAAUUAAAUUCAUCACCUAUAAUGUUCUGUAAACUAUAUUUGAAAACUCUCUAAAAUUAUAUUUUAAGCAUAAUAUUAUUAUUAUUUAAUUUAAGUUAUUUUAAACAUAAUAUAUGCUAAACCAACUUAAAUUAUAUUUACAAUAGGACCAUCCUAAACCGGUUAGUAAACCAAAAACAAUACUAAACCAACAUGAACCAAUACCUGAUUCGGCGAGGAAGGAAGUGUUUCGGGAUAAACGCUUGAAUGGUUAUUAACUGAAAUGGUUUGAUCAUGAAAGAGUUAGUAUGAAUAUUAACAAUAAAAUUAUACAUUAGAUUAAUUUAAAUUUGUAAGAAUACCUUUGAGUCUAUGAAAAACAAUUCAAUUCCCAUGAAUAAGUUUGGUUUUGGAAGUUGCGGGUUUCCCAACAAUGAAUCCACCUAACAAAAAGUUUGUUGUUAUAAAAAAAUCUCAUUCAAGGUCAUUAAAGGUUUCUGGGACGGCAAUAGUUGAUAGUGAAACCUUUUUUUUGCUCGAAUGCUUUGAAAUUUUCCUUAAUAGUGUGAGGUUGAUGUGGAUGGAAUAAUGAGUUUUAUAGGGACUUUCUUGAUGUAAAACUAUAAAAAAAUUUUUUUUUAAUGUGGUAUUUCCAUUUUUAUAUAAUUUACUACCAUUUUAAGAUAGAAGUACAUUUUAAGAUAGAUGCUUAAAUCUUAAUGUACUUUUUCCAUUUUUUAAAAUGUUUAUUUCCAUUUCUUAUAUUUUUAUUUACGUAAUAUCAAUAUUUUAUAUUUUUAAAUAGAUAUUUAAAUAUUAAUGUACUUUUUCCAUUUUUUAAAUUGUGUAUUUACUUAUAUUAUAUAUUUUACAUUUUAAGAUAGAUGUUUAAUGCUUGAUGAACUUUUUCCACUUUUUAAAAAAUUGUGUAUUUACUUAUUAUUACAUAUAUAAUUCAUAUAUUAUAUAUUUACAUUAUUUACUUAUUAUUUAUUUUCAUGUAUAUGUAUUUCCAUUUCUUGUACUUUUAAUUUACUUAAUAUCUCUAUUUUACAUUUUAAGAUAGAUGUUUAAAUCUUAUGUAUGUUUUCCAUUUUUUAAAUUGUAUAUUUCCAUUUGUUAUACUUUCUAUUUACGUAAUAUCUAUAUUUUAAAUUUUAAUAUAUAUUUUUAACUCUUAAUGUAAUUUCCCAUUUUUUAAAUUUGGUAUUCACUUAUAUUAUAUAUUUACUUAUUAUUUAUUUUUCUUUAUAUUGUGUAUUUCUAUUUCUUAUACUUUCUAUUUACUAAUAAUUUUAUAUUUCAAGAUUGAUUUACAUUUUAAGAUAGAUGUUUAAAUACUAAUGUAUUUUUUCCAUUUUUUUAAAUUGUGUAUUUCCUUUUCUUAUACUUUCUAUUUACUUAAUAUUUAUAUUUUACAUUUUAAGAUAGAUGUUUAAUAUUUAAUGUACUCUUUCCAUUUUUUAAAAAUUGUGCAUUUACUUAUUAUUGUAUAUAUAAUUCGUAUAUUUAUAUAUUUAUAAUAUUUACUUAUUAUUUAUUUUUCUAUAUAUUGAGUAUUUCUCUUUCUUAUACUUUAUAUUUAGUUAAUGUCUAUAUUUUAUAUUUUAAGAUAGAUGUUUAAAUCUUUACGUAUUUUUCCAUUUUUAAUGUAAAACGGCAAUGUUUAAUAGAAGAACUUGGACAAAUAGUCAAAUAGUUAUAUUUAUGUUUUUUUUCUUUUUUUAAUAAAAAGGUAAUGUUACAUUAUGAAGAUAACCCGUUUUUUUAGUGAACAAUGGUAAUCUUACAUAUGUUUAAUGUAGUUUUUCCAUUUUUUUAUGUUGUAUGUUUACAUAUUAUUGUUAUUUUUAAAUGUAAAAUGGUAAUUUUACAUAUGUAAAAUGGUAAUUUUACAUAUGUUUAAUGCAGUAUUUCCAUUUUUUAUGUUGUAUGUUUACAUAUUAUUUAUUAUUUUCGAAAUUAUAUAUAAUUUUUUUUUUACAAAAUAGUAAUGUUACAUUAUGGAGAUAAGCCGUUUUUUUUUUAGUGAAAAAUGGUAAUCUUACAUAGGUUUAUUGUAGUUUUUUCAUUUUUUAUGUUGUAUGUUUACAUAUUAUUUUCUUAAAAUAAAAAUGUAAAAUGGUAAUCUUACAUAUGUUUAAUGUAGUAUUUCCAUUUUUAUGUUGUAUGUUUUACAUAUAUUUAUUAUUUUCAAAAUUAUAUAUAAUGUUUUUUGUUUUUUUUAUAAAACGGUAAUGUUACAUUAUGGAGAUAAGCCGUCUUUUUUUUAAGUGAAAAAUAGUAAUCUUAUAUAUGUUUAAUGUAGUUUUUACAUUUUUUUUAUGCUGUAUGUUUACAUAUUUUUUAUAAUUUUCGAAAAUAAGUAAUAUUAAAAUGUAAAACUAUAUUUUAAUGCCAUGUGUCAUCUUUCGAGAUUAUAUUUUAUAUUUACUUAUUAUUUAUUUUUCUUUAUAUUGUGUAUUUUUAUUUCUUAUACUUUCUAUUUACUAAUAAUUUUAUAUUUUAAGAUUGAUUUACAUUUUAAGAUAGAUGUUUAAAUACUAAUGUACUUUUUCCAUUUUUUAAAUUGUGUAUUUCCUUUUCUUAUACUUUCUAUUUGCGUAAUAUCUAUAUUUUACAUUUUAAGAUAGAUGUUUAAAUCUUAAUAUACCUUUUCCAUUGUUUUUAAGUUGUGUAUUUCUUUUUCUUAUAUUUUCUAUUUACUUAAUAUCUAUAUUUUACAUUUUAAGAUAGAUGUUUAAUAUUUAAUAUAUUCUUUCCAUUUUUAAAAAAUUGUGCAUUUACUUAUUAUUGUAUAUAUAAUUCGUAUAUUUAUAUAUUUAUAAUAUUUACUUAUUAUUUAUUUUUUUAUAUAUUGAGUAUUUCUCUCUUUUAUACUUUAUAUUUAGUUAAUGUCUAUAUUUUAUAUUUUAAGAUAGAUGUUUAAAUCUUUACGUAUUUUUCUAUUUUUAAUGUAAAACGGCAAUGUUUAAUAGAAGAACUUGGACAAAUAGUCAAACAUAUUUAUGUUUAAUGUAGUAUUUCCAUUUUUAUGUUGUAUGUUUUACAGAUAUUUAUUAUUUUCGAAAUUAUAUAUAAUGUUUUUUGUUUUUUUUUUAUAAAACGGUAAUGUUACAUUAUGGAGAUAAGCCGUCUUUUUUUUAAGUGAAAAAUAGUAAUCUUACAUAUGUUUAAUGUAGUUUUUCCAUUUUUUAAUGCUGUAUGUUUACAUAUUUUUUACAAUUUUCGAAAAUAAUUAAUAUUAAAAUGUAAAACUAUAUUUUAUGCCACAUGUCAUCUUUCGGAAGAAAUGUUUUCCGCUGAUGUGGACGCCCUAUGGAGCCUCAAAAGCUCCCUUUUAUUAGUAGAGUUUAUUUUUCUUUAUAUUGUG